GCAAACCACCCCUGGCGAGCGCGGGGACGAAGCAGGGCAGACCUCCAUACCCACACUCACCUCCUCCUCAGCAGCGACCACCGGGAUAGGGGAAGCAGGGAGAGUGAUCUCCAUGCCUACCACCACCACCGGCGCCAAAGUACCCACCGUGGAGCCUCCUGCGAGCCCCGACUGGCCAACACCCGAGGGGGCGGGGGUGCGCCGACCGCCAGAUGGCUCGGGCGGAGCCCCGACCGUAUCAUCGUCCCCCUCAGAAGAAGGCCCCUCCUCCGACGAGCCCCCCUCCUUGUCAAGACCCCCGUCGGCAGGCUCCAGCCCAGGCGGGACCGGAUCUAGCUGAGCCGCUGAAGCCGGGGACUCGAGCUCGAAGGUCAGACGCCUGCCCUUGGACCCAAAGUAGAAGACCAAAGACAACCCGUCAAUCUCAGCAGGAGCCGGGCAGAGAAUCUCAAUGCGGGCAGGGCCAUCAUCCUCGAAAGAUGCCAGGUCGGCGGUGAUCAGUUUGCCCAUGGGUUUAGAGAUGGCUUUCAGAAUAUGACUGAGCUUGCCACCCCGCGGAGCCGCACUGCCCCCCCUUGGGAGGCCAUAGACGAGGACCCAAACCUUCUCCAAGGGAGGGACGGGGUCAGGCUCUGACAUGGCCGCCUGGACGCUGAUCGGGAGCUGGUUGAGGGGACACCGGAUAGGACCAUGCGAGCAGACCCGGAGUAGCUCGGCCGAGGGGAAGGGGACCGAGAAGACCAGGGGAGCCGUCUCAGUCACCUCCCAUGCGAACUCAGAGCCGCGAAAGUCGCCAAUGUAGGCCGCAAGCUCAUCCUGGAUGAGGUCAGACGAGAUCACCAGGCCAUCCGGGAUAGGCUGCUCGGGCUCCAAGGUGACCGUCGCUAGGUGAGGACGAGCAGCUACCUCCUCAAUCUCCGCAUCCACGAAGUAGAAGCUUCCCCGCUCAGUGCCAUACCCAAGAUAGGCAAGAAUCGUGGGGCACCGUGGGGGAGCCUCACACUCCGAGCGGUAGUGCCCGGUGCACCCGCAGUUGAUGCACAUCGUGUCCUCGCGGGAGCGCUGGCGGGUAGCACGAGCAGGGGGUCUAGAGCCUCAUGCUCAGGAGCCCCCUGAGCUCCUGGCGACGUCAGGCCGCCAGCACCGCCAACAGCCUUCUUCUUCUUCGACUUCAUCUUCUUCUUAACCGGGGUCGGGCGGGAAGCGGAGCAGCAGGCAGGGCAUCUGGGGACACGUGCCUAGAAGGCCCGUCGUCCCGGCACCAGUCCGCACCCGUCGCCCGAGAGGAGCGCCAGUCAGCCCGACGUCCAUCAUCACCGCGCCGCAUUGGCGGCCCGCCCCACCGCUCCCCCGGGCGGUGGUCCUGGCGAUCACGGGGCGGCCCGCCCCACCGCUCCCCAGGAAGGCGCCGCGGGGCGGUGAGCGAGGUCCCGAGCCGGGGGGUAGCGGGGCGCUGGCUCCUCACACGGCUGAGAUGCCGGAGUGGGGCGAGCAACCAACUCUGCACACAGAGUCGCUUCCCGGUCCAGGUCGGCCGCGCGGGCGGCCUCCAGGCGGCGACGGUCCCCCGGCGAACCCGGCAACGGCAGGCGGGGAUCCCUCUCCGGAUCACGAGGGGGAGGCGGACGGCGAAGGGAGGUCCCGGAGUAGUACUCCGGGGACUUCCCCGGCCGGGCAGACCCACCGCGCCCGGAACGGGACGAGGCAGCACCCCCUUCCAUGGCACGGUCACGGGCGGCGGGCAGCGCCUUCAACACCGCGCGAGCCUGGUCACGAGAGGUUGGCGUAGGGAGGAGCCCCUGCCCAGCCGGGAGAGGCCGCUUCGGUCGGGCCUGGCCGUUCCCGGCGUGGCGUGUCAUGAGCACGUCCCGGUAGGAGCGCCGUGGGGAGGGGAUGGGGAGCAGGUCCGGGCGCCGGGCAGCAGACGAGGGCGCGUCGCCGGCAGUGCAGGCGAGGACGGACGAGGUGGAGGGAGCUCUAUGGCUGACGGGACGGGGCGAGCGGGGCCUGGGGAACGGCCGGCGGGACGGGGCGAGCAGGGCCUGGGGAACGGCGGGGACGUCCGCGCCCGACGGGAGAGAGCGAGAGGAAAGGGAGCGGGAGCCCGACCGGAGAGAGCGAGAGAAACGGGAGCGGGACGGGGCGAGGCUGCGAGGUGGCGGUGGCGCACGCUCGGCAGGGUAAACCCUAUCCCCGAGCCGGUCCUCCCGACGCAGGCCUGGGCCGGGACGCGAGCAUGGGGGAGGCCCAGGUGGGCAUCGGCCCACUGCCGGUUAACCUUCUCCAGGACUCGGGAGACGCGGCGGGAGGCCCAGGCCAUCUCGCUAGCUGAGAUGGGCCCAGGCCCCGUUCGCAGCGGCCCAUGGGGAGAGCCGGCCCAUCCGUCCGCCAGCCGGCCAGGGGAGUUAGGGCAUGGGGGAGGGGACUGACGAGGCACUCGGGCACCUCCCGCUGCCGCCGGCACCGCCGCCGCCGCCACAGGAGGCAGGGCACCAGCGCCUGGUCGGGGCUCGCGGGGGCCCUCUCCGGCGACCGCCAUGGGGGACAACCCAGGCAGCAAACCGGCUCGGGCCAAGGAGGGGAGAGGGGGAACCACAGGGGGACAGUGCACCGGCGACCGCCGCCCGACCUCCUUCCCCGGCCGCCGGCGGGCAGGGCGCGCCGCAGCCAGGAACGAGCCGAGCAGCGGCGGUGCCAGGGACACCGGCAGCUCCAACCGGUCAUCACCAUCCGAAGAGGCCUCCAUGUCAUCGGGGUCGGGAUCGUCCGUCCAGUCCGCCCAACGUCGCGGCGACCGUUGGAAGCAGAGGGAGGGCGCCCCCGGCGGGGGAAGCGGGGGCAUCGCGCUCACGCAGCACGCCGGCCGACCGCCGUCAGCGGGCACCGCGCAGCUUCAGGUCUCGGCCCGCCGGAGAGGAGCCGCCCAUCGCUUCUUCUCUUCAGGAAUCUAGUCGCCGGCCCACAAGUGGGGUGAUGAACAAGCUAAUGCGAUUUAAAGUAAUCAUACCUCGUCCUAAGAAAUUAAAAGUGAAUUCAUACUGUGCAGCUAGAAAAAGAAUCAUAAAAGUAUACAAGCGCAUGUGAAAAGAAAAAGAUGAACAACUUGCCACUUCAUAUAGGUGAUCUAAUUAACUAAUUUAGGGUUCGAAUAACUUUGUUUCCCCACAAUCAUGACAAAGUGAACCUUUUGUUGAAAGCCGGAAUUCUGCAAUAAAGCUGCAAUGGUAGAUCUAUUUUUAUCAGGGAAUCUACCAUGCUGAGCUGCUGCACACAAGGCGUUCUCACUCACGAGUCGCAAAAAAGAGUUGGUGAGUUAUUAAAAAAGAAGACAAAGAGGACGAGUGAGUUGCACCAAAAUUAAAUACUUCCUUCAUUUCAAAAUAAAUGUCUCAAUUUUAUACUACCUCUAGUAUAAGAGCAUGGUUAAUAGUAUAGUCAACUGCUGGCUAUAAGCUAUCUUAUAGCCUAUCUUAUAGCUAGCUUGUACAAUAGUUAGCUAUAAAAGAGUACUACUUUUAUUCUAUAUGGCCCACCUUUCAUUUUCACAAAGCACCUACGAGCACGUGCUAGAGCUGGCUCUUUACGAAGAGCCCGCUUCCCUUCUCACUCCUAUUCUCUCUCAUCCAACUCAGCAAAAAUACAGUAUUUUAAUCCUUACAGCCUGCUGACUGUACCUUAUUGUACUUGCUCUAAAGUUGUACUCCCUCCGUUCCAAAAUAUAAGACCUUUUAGAGAUUUAUUAGAAGACUACAUACGAAGCAAAAUGAGUGAAUCUAUACUCUAAAAUAUGUCUAUGUACAUCCGUAUGUAGUUCAUAGUGCAAUCUUUAAAAUGUCUUAUAUUUAGGAACGGAGGGAGUAUUAAGUUUGAGGCGGUUAUAUUGAGACGGAGAGAGUACUAGAUAUACGUAAUCUGAAAUAGUGGAGUACCAAAAUUAUAGGCCUCUAUGAUUAGGAGGAUUUUCAUAAAACAUUUGGAAAGUUGUGAUACUUGAGAAUUUUUCCUUUAUCGCUUAUCUGAUUCGUAGAUUGACUCCUAUAGGAUUUUCUCCUAUGGAUUCCCUUUGACUGCACAUUUCAUGAAAAAAAACAUUAGUUUGCCAUGAUAAUUUUUCACCAGGAUGCACAAAAAAUGAACUAGUUCUGAAAGGUUUAUUGGCUUCAUUUGGAUUUACUUAGAAUCAGCUCAUAUUAGCAAUAAUUAAAGAUGGCCGAACGAUGGCGCCGUCUCCCUCCCGACCCGGGGCCGCAUGCAGCCCCUCUCCCUCUGCCCCCCUCCUCCUGUCGGUGCCCUCGGAUCUGGUCCGGGUGGUGUUGGCGGUGGCGGGAUCUCCAUUACCUGUGCGCGGACGUCCUUCCCGAGGCAGGGGAUCGACGGUGGUGCGGCUCGGCCUGCUGUGGUCCGACGACCUAGAGGUGGUGGCCGGCAGCCGACGUGGUGGUGGCGCUGCUCCUUGGCGGCGGGGUGGCCUAGCGGCACGGGGUGGCCGGCUGCACGACCCCGGGCCAGAUCAGGGCCCAUAAGGCCUCAUCUAGGUCCUAGGGGACUGGCUCUGGCAUGGACUUGCUGCCUCCUGUACAGGGAUGAGGAGGGGCGGGUUGAAAGGGGGGCCGCGAUGCCGACGGUGUGCUUUCUGCAGCGCGAUGGCAGGAGCUUUAUGGGUAUUUGUGGGGCCAUGAGCCUGGUUUGCUCCUGCCGAUGUGUCCGGUCGGUUACUGUCGUUGACGAUGGAAGUCGGACCCUCCCGCAGGCCGCCGGUGUUGCUUCCCCUAGUCCCGACUCUUCUUCUUCGAUGUGCAGGCCUCACUUCUCGGUGUCCUGGUGAGACAGUGUGGGUCGCUUCAAGAUUGUGCUUGCGCAGGGCGGUGGGUGGUAUGGUGGAGUCCUCCGGAACGCCCGUGGUGAUGCGUGGGGAUCGGGACGUACAAAUCCUUGUCGGCCUGUUCGACACCGACACGGUGACGCCUGAGGGUGUCGACGGACCUUCCUGGAGGGUGUCGGGUGCUACCCUUUCUUUGUCCUCGUUGUGUAUCGGGGGAAACCCUUGGCAGCAGCGCAGUCAUCGUCGUGUCCCUUCUUGGAGGUGUUGAUUGGUAUCGGCGCUUCGAAGGCUAGGAUCUUGGUGGAAGAUCUUCGAUGGGCGCAACGAUCGCGGGGCCUCUUCAUUUUUGUCGAUCCAUCAUUGUUGGCAUCUAUUCCUUUUGCAUUUUCUUUUUCCCUUCCUUUUGGACGUGAUUGUGAUGUCUCCGUCCCAGCACUUAUUGAUGGAUAUAUCGGGCAUUUGCUAUAUUAAUAUAGCGAGGCGAACGCGUGCUUCGAAGAAAGAUGGACGAACUUACCAACCAUAUUACUUGUGCUUAUUUAUUUUCUUCUGUUACAACGCACAAACAUAUUUGCUAUUUGAACUAAAUCACAUUGCCAAUUGCUCGUCUAUCAUGUCAAAUCAGAACCACGCAUCUAACCCUCCCAAGAUGUAGAUCGAUCGGUUUUACUCGGCAUUCAUUAUGGAUCGGAGGGAGUACUCCUAGAUCAUAUUCAAAAUUGCUCCACGCCACAAAUAAAACUGCACGGUACAUAUGGUAAAUCUGGGAAAGUGAUUUGCGUGGUAUGUGUGCCAUAAUCAACUGAAUUAUUGGACUAACCGCAUCAAGAUCGGAUCACAUCGAUCCUAUCCCCGUCGACGAGACUGUCCUCGAAUCAAAAUAUUUCUCCAAUGGACGCUCGUGUCCCACGCUCUGAAAGCGACGCCUUUUGUUUUGUCAGUUAAUUUUCACGUCAAGCUCACACCCACGCACGCACCGUGUAGGAUCCACGGCUCGACGCACCUCCCCUUCCCUCCCCUUCUCCCUAUUUAACGAGCUAGCCACCCCCACGCUUUUUGCACCUCAGCAAGCACCAACACACACACACACACAAGAAAUGGCGAUGGCUAGGACGACGACGCUCCUCCUCGUCGCCGCAGCUCUCCUCGCGGCCUCAUGCAGCGCAUGGGAGGUCAACAUCCGCAUGCCGACGUCGGCGGCGGACGUGGACGAGGCGGUGGUGGCGCCGCUGAUCCACGCGCUGCGGCCGCUGCUGGGCUCCGGCAAGCACGCCGGAGUGGCGUGCGACAGCUGGGUGCUGGGGGUGGAGGCGCACAACGUGCGGGACUGGAAGACGGUGCCCGCGAGCUGCGAGGGCUACGUCGGGCACUACAUGCUCGGCAGCCAUUUCCGCCGCGACUCCAAGGUCGUCAUCGACCAGGCCCUCGCCUACGUCGACUCCCUCAAGCUCGCCGGCAACGGCAAGGAGGUCUGGGUCUUCGACAUCGACGAGACCACCCUCUCCAACCUCCCCUACUACGCCAAGCACGGCUUCGGGUACGUACUUACACUCUUGUAUACAUUACAUAGACACUACUGAUUCUACGUGUAGUGCAUGCAUUAGACUUGCUAUUUACUGCAGGUACAUCCGACCGAGCAGGGACUUGCACUCAUCUUUUCACUAAGAUGAAGUGUAAAUAAUCUGACUAGAUAUAUAUUGUAAAAAAUCAACUCACUAGCUAGCUAAAAAAUACCAGCGAGAUCUGUAAUGAAUGAAAAUUGGAAAGCACAUAAGGAUAGAAAUAUUGGAAAUAAAAAGGAAUAUAAUCACUAAGUAGAAAAGUACUUUAAUCACAAGUGUUGGACACUUGGACAUCAUCAUUGCCAGUAGGACUCGGGCCAUAUGUCCCUAGUAUGAAUGGCCAACAAAACAAGAAGGAAACAUACUAUAUUUUGAGAUAGAGAUGUGAUGUUGAUGGGCAUGCGAAUGUGGUGGCCGGGUAGGACCGUAUAUGUUGUCCACUUGGCUACUUUAUGGAAAUGUUCUAAUUAUGUUAUGCUAGUCAACUCAUACUUUCUAAUUAUGUCAUACUUUUGUACACAUACACACUAUUGUAGUGCAUUAUACUCCCUCUCUAUCUAAAUACUUAGAGUUCGAAAGAACUAGGUGCAUUUCAGCAGGGGCUUGCACUGAUCUAUUCGUUCAGAUAAAAUAAAUAUCUUACUAGACCUCGUUCAAAUGAACUCACUAGCUAGAAAGCACUAGUAUCAUAAGAUUUCUAAUGAAUGAAAGUGGGAAAACAAAUGAGACUAGAAGUGGAAACAAGGAAUAUACUCACUAGCUAGAAAAGUAUUAAUUGGACGUGUUGGACACACUUAGGCAGCAUCAUUGCUGGUUACCUCAAAUCAGUCACAGAGACGGCCAUCAGGACCAUAAAUAUGUCCCGCCUAUGAAUGGUCAACAAAACAAGAAGGAAACAUAGUACUAUAGUUUGAGAAUAUGGUGGCCGGGGUAGGACCGUAUAUGUUCUCCACUUGGCUACUUUAUGGAAACGUUUAUUUCCAGCUGUCCUUAUCAGCCGAUACGUUCUAAUUAUGUUAUGCUAAUCGAUUGAUAUUUUCUGAUUAUGUUAUGCUAAACUUAGUUCAGAUGGAUAGUACUCCGAUACGUUUUCAUUAUUUUAUGCUAAUCUGAGUUUAGAUGGAUAUAAUUACUUAUUUUAGAAGAUGUGAGAGGUCAGAACAUCUUGUGCAUAGUUAGUAGUUACAUGCUACUCCCUCCGUUCCUAAAUACAAAUCUUUUAAAAGAUUUCACUAGUGGUCUACAUAUGAAGCAAAAUGAAUGAAUUUAUACUAUAAAAUAUGUUUAUAUACAUUCAUAUGUAUUACUCUAACCUCUAAAAAGAUUUAUAUUUAAGAAUGGAUGGAGUACAACUCUAUUCCUCUUUUCUCAAAUAGUUGAACACUAUUCCUCUUAGUUAAGAAGAUUCUCUUGAACCAAGAUGGAAACUAACUUGAAAUGUAGUAGAAGUCUAGGUGAUAUCUAGCCAACAUGAUGAUACCAGUUUAGUUCAAAACAUGAUUAACUAGCUCCGGAUAGCUUGCUUGUGUAUAUUUUGAAUGUGAUGAGGGAGCUAGUUCGUUGUGAUUUAAAAUAAACUGUACCUUGCCGUAAGAACUUUAAAGUGGAUCUACACUGGGCGGCUGGAAAAAGAUACAUAAAAGUAUAUAUAUGCGCAUCAAGGAAAAAAGAAAGAUCAAAAGCUUAUAACAGCAUGUCUAACUAAUCGAGCGGUUCAAAUAACUUUGUUUCAUCACAAUCAUGACAAAAUUAACCUUUUUUGUUGAAAGUCGGAACUCUGCAAUAAGGUUGCAAUGGUAGACCUAUUUUACCAAAGGAAUCAACAAAGCUGAGCUGCUGCGUACAAAGCUGUGCACGAUGAGAUUAAAUACUACAACUGCGUUUUCGGUCCAACAAAACAGUAGCGUGAUGAUGCCGGAGUGAACCUCGCUAUGUCACAUUCAUUGAUUUACUCCACUUGACCAACUUAAUUUACGACGUCCACAACUACGUACUGCUCAUGCACGUGCGUUACGUACAGAUACAGAGCAUCAUUGCGUUUACGUAUUGCCCAUCCCCUUGGCCAUUUGGCCACUUGGGCCAUAAUCUAGGUUGCCUAUGUUCCUUGGAUAUGCAUAAUUACUACUACUUCUUAGUAGCUGAUAUGAUUGAAUCUGCCAUUAAUCUAUCCUCGUAUACAUGUGCGUGCAGGGCUACACCGUUCAACGCGACCAGCUUCAACGCAUACGUGCUACAGGGGAGCGCGCCAGCCCUGCCGGAGACGAAGCGGCUGUACAACAAGCUGCGCUCGAUCGGCGUCAAGCCGGUGUUCCUCACCGGCCGGACUGAGGACCAGAGGGCCAUCACCGUCACCAACCUCCGCCGCCAGGGGAUCUCUGGGUGGAUGAACCUCUUGCUGAAGCAACCCGGGUUCAAGGGCUCUGCGGUGACCUACAAGUCCGGCGAGAGGCAGAAGCUGCAGGACGCCGGGUAUGUCAUCGUCGGUAACAUCGGCGACCAGUGGAGCGACAUCCUCGGCGCGCCAGAGGGUGCCCGCACCUUCAAGCUGCCCGACCCCAUGUACUACAUCGGCUAGGCCGCCUCUGGCUCGGCCGGGCAUGCUGCCAUUGAUUUCUCGAAUAAGCUCCAUGCUCUUAGUUAUAUGCAUGUUUCGUCAGAUAAUCAAUCCCCAAUUGUUGCUUGGUUCAUUUCCAUUGUUGAGAGCUUGAGAUCAAUUGCUACUAUGAAUUAGACGUGUAAGUGGAGAUGUUGCAUGCUGCUUAAUCAAUGGAUCUUUGUUAUGUUGUUUUUCUUUUUGCUCUAUUACAAGGAAUCCAUGGGCAUUAUUACUAUUUGAUAUCUUGUUCUUAAGUCUUAACUUGGAACUUAUAUUGCUGGUGGUAGAUUUUUCUGUACUAAAUUCUGCAUAUGGUGUAUUAAAUAUCAGGGACACAUAAUAUUGUCACACAUAUGGAAUCACUACUGCUAAAAUGACCAGUUCCUGAACCCAUCUGCUAUUGGGCCCAUUUUGGCCCGUCGGAGGAAGGGAUCAUCGUCGGUGGACAGGCAAAGAAGUGCUCGCAUAGACUCCUUCAAAAAAUGUGCCCUCAUAGACGACGGGUAUUUUCCACUGAUGUUGCGCAACUGGUGAUUGCAAUGUAGUUUGUGUCUUGCAUGUUGUAUGCAUAUGUAAUGAAUGUAACAUCUAAUAGUUAAUUAUGCAAGACAAAUAAAGCCCACCCUUUUCAGUAAGUUUAGAGCUAGAUUUGAGUUUGUCUUGGUCUCAUUUUUCUAAACAUACAAUCCUGGAGACAACUCGGUGAAGAAAUGAUGGUCCAAAUAGGUGUCUAACACGAAUCGUCAUCAAAGAAACCCUAUGGGAACCCACACUAUUCUAGUUACUUGGAUGAUUUGUAAUGAAAGAAAUAUAUGUGUCUUCCAAGUUAUUUUGACCAUGCCAAACAACAUCCCUGCUAAGAUAAAAAACGAUGUGGAGACUUGGAUAAAGGCCGGGCGAAGGAUCUGGGAAACAUUAUGCCAGGAGAGUAGUUCCGUUCUAUUAAUUUAUCCUUGGAUGACGUUUCGCGGAGAGAGGGGAGAGGGCGACCUGGGCGAUCUGGGAGCGUCGGGGGCCGCCGUGGGCAUCGUCGGAGAGGGGGAACAUCGGUACUCCUCCUCCGAUCUCGCAUCCCAGGCGCGGCGCCGGAGCCCGAUCUCGGCGGUGGAGGGACCUACUGUCCGUGUCCGAUGGAGAGUUGCGUACUCAGAGGCUGGUUAUUCGGAUCUGCGUGAGGGGCAGAUUGUUUUUCAUUCGGUUUCUCGUUGGAUGACACUACGGGAUGACGACGACGACAUCCUCGCCGGCUGCCAUCUCCAAGAGGAAGAUCUCAUCUGCGAAGGUGCGCAUUUCAUGGUGGAUAUCUUUUCUGUUACUUGUAUUUCUCCUUUCCUGCAGGUGAAUUCACAAGAACGGAUGCAGCCUGAUUUGGUGGACAUAUCUGACGAUGAUAAGAUCGCCUCACCAAGACUUCUCCCUCGAGUUGGGGGGAGGUUUUGGGUACUGGCUAAAGAUGAAGACGACGAGAACCACGACAUUGCCGUAGCACAGGAGGUCUCUGCUCCUUUCUGCGACCAGGUUUUCCAUCCGGCCACGAGGGAUUUUAUUCAUGCAUUGCCUGAUUCGAAGGUCGUUAAGGUAGUUCAACGCAAGGAGCGAUUGGCGAUUAAACCUUGGAGCGGUCCUCUGCCUAAGGUUCAUCUCGAACCAUUGCGGAUCUCGGACAUCAUACCUUGAGAGGCUUGGACUACUGUUUUGCCUAAGAGGAAGAACAAGGGUAAGAGCCGUAAAUUGCAGACGUCAGUCCCUGACAAGGUGCUGUCGUCCCGUGAUUCUCGCGAAUUACGUUUGAACGAGCCGAUGGCUGUUGUCGGGCCGUUGGGACCGGCGCUCGAGUUGGGCUUAAAAGAAACUGGGUAUAUGGCCCAGAUAGACUCCAAUCUAGCAAAACCUGCAAGUCCUACACCUACGGCUGCCCAGAUUUGCCUUGACGAGAAUCAUCAGGACUUGGUUUCUACGUCAAGUUUGCAUAUACCGAGUUCGGCUCUGCCUAGGGUUCCACGACGGCGUUUGCCUGGCUUCCCUUCGCUCGGGCCGGGUCGUGCAGUACGGGUUCCAGCGCUGCGGUGCAUGGCGGGGCGGGGAAACAAGCAGGCGCUGCCUCCCCCUCGACCACCGGCGGUUUCCCAGGCUGUGGGGCGGACUAGGCAGCAGCCCGUGAUGCCGCCAGGGCGCCAGACGGGCCAGGCUUCGGCUGCACCGGUUCCCGCUGCUGGUCAGGGUUUGCCCAACGCGGCUCGGGCGGAUACUAACAGGAUGCAGCCGAGAGGUCGAUGGGGGGAUGAUGGUGUUAAUGCAUAUGGUGAUGGACAGCACCGUGGAUCCUCUUCGUCUGGAGGAGGACGUGGCUAUGCCUGGCAGAGCAAUGGCAGCGCUGCUAAUGGGUUCGCCGGUCCUCCGGGACAGUUUGUGCCCCGGGUCUCGGGUCCUACUCACCCUAGGGAGGUGGAUAUAAGCAACAUUGGGGAGGGAGAGGUGGUGGCAGGAGAUUGAAGCCGCCCACGCCUCCAGUAGAGGUAGAUGCUGCCAAGACAACGGCGGGAGUACCUUCCAAUGCUCCUAAGGGGAAUACACUGCUGCCACCUGUUUCCGAGGAGGAUCCUUCCUUGGCUGACAAGGGAGUAUCGCUUGCGAAGGCAGAGGGGGGGGGAUAGGCCCUCCAAGUGGGCACGCAAAAAAGAAAAGAUGACAUGCUACCGUUGCAGUGAGACGGGUCAUUUUGUUUCCGAAUGCAGCGCGGAUCUGUGUGACUUUUGCUUAAAGCCUAAGCAUGGCUCAGCUAAGUGCCCCCUUACUGUUGGUCCUAUACAUGUCGUCACUUUAUAUGGGGUUUGCUGCCAAGAGUUGAUGUUCUUUGAAUCUCCCUCUGCUUCAACGUCGUUGCAUGUGCCAGACGCGGCCUAUACGGGGACGGUUACGGUGGCUCGUGGUAAUAUGUCAGCUGAGCAGGUGGUGCAACAGUUGAGGGAUCUUGUUUCAUCAAUGUUUCGGUGGGAACUGGUCCUUAUAGCAGAUAAUGUGUUCAAGGUUGUGUUCCCUACCAAGGAGGACCUAGCUAGACUGCUCAAGUUUGGUAUGUGUCGGGUUCCUAGUACUAGUUGUGUGCUAGAGUUCGAUGCUUGGAAGAAUGAGGAGCCAUAAGGUGUGCCACUUCCUCAGAUUUGGGUUCGUUUUUCAGGGGCCCCGUCAAAGGCUCUAAAUGACUUUCUGGUGACUUGGAGUUUGGGAUCUUUGAUAGGUAAGACUGAGAGGGUGGAUAUGCAAUAUACUCGGGCUAAAGGUGUUGCCAGGAUGAGGGUUAGUGUAAUUGAUAUUGCGCUAGUACCGGAUGAAGUUAUAUGGACUUAUGAUGGAAUGCGGUACACCUUGCAACUCGAGAUCGAGAGUCCGGAUAUGUUCGAGGAGGAUGGGACAGACAAAGAUACCGAUAUGGCUGACGGAGAUGAUGCUUCGGGUUCUAGGGAAUCUGAUAAGAAGGAUCAACAGCCAGUUAUUACAAAGAUGGUGGAUCAACCUACCUCAGGUUCUGCUACAGGGGCUGCUCAACCAGUGUCUCUUCCCUCGACGCAGCUUAGGUUCGGUUCCUUUGAACCAGCCUCGGCGCCAGAGAUUCGAGGGAGGGCUUCAGAGAAGUAUGAGCGGGAUCUGGUUCAUCUUAAGCCGCAAGGAAAGCAAGCAAAGUCAGGGUCAUUCAGUAUUAAAAAUCCUAAGGAAGCUUUGACCGUAGUUUCUCUUGGGGAAUAUUUUGUUGUCGCUAGGAAUGCUGAUACGGGCCGGUCUCAGCAACGUGAUGCAGUGCAGCCAGCAAGGCAUAUGUUGUCCGGGUUGGGUACUGUGCCGAGGGGUGCGCCGCCUGGGUCGCCUAGGCAGGGUUCGCUGCUGCUGUAGAGUCCAUCGCCAGCCACCCAGGGGGUUGCUGUUUCUCGGCCAGCCACCCCUGGGGCUGCUACCUUUUUGCCAGCCACACCGAGGGCAAUUACAGCGACUCCUCCUCCUGGCCUACUUCCGUCGUUGGAUGCUGCUGCGAGAUCCACCCCUGCUGCUGGUUUCAUGUCAGCCGAGAGAUCAACCCCUGUUGCUGCGGUUCCUAUCGCUACUAUGGCUGCAACCGGGGCAUCAUCUUUGCGGGUGUCAGGGCUGGAGGGUACUGGUCAGGGGCACCAUGGCGAGGUCGUUGCACCGCCGUCUGUUGAGCAGGUCAUAGCAUACGGAGGUAUUCAAAGUCCGCUGACUUCGGACAGGAGGUCCAGUCGGCGAAUUCAGAAUCAACCUGAUGCGGAUUAUUUACAGAUGGGACGUGCUAUGCGUGCGGCUAAAAUGAGAGAUGUCGAAACUGAGACAGGUAUGUCUUUCAGCAUUAACGAUUCUAUUCUUCAUUUUUCUCCUCAAGAUAUUCUAGAUAAGGCAGGUUCUAUUGGGGUUACAUUGGGGAACAAUGGCCGAGAAAUUUCGAAAUCUAUUAAUGAUCUAUUAGACUUAGAGGUCGAUAGAGCGUUAGACUUAGUACGAAAUUUAGCGGCAGUUAAACCAAUGCAAGAGUCUGAAGUUAACGAUCUAGGGGGACUGAAUUCUCUUUGUGAUAGUCUGGCCCCGUCAGUGGAUAUAGAGGAUGGUGCGGGCGAGGUUUUAGUUGGUCAAGGGAUGUGUGCCCAAUCUCAUAAGGCUGAGCCUCAAUUCUCUGGUUAUAUGGACCAGGAGUUGCUGGAAAAGCCGAAGCGUCCAUGGAGACGGAAAGUGUAUCCGGUCUCUGCGAUACGUAGAAGUGCUAGAUUUAAGAUUGCCAAAAAAAAUUAUGAUGAUUAAUGAGAGGAAUUUUUUGGAAUAGCAGAGGUCUUUGAGACUUGGCUAAAAGAAGAUUUCUAGCAGAGGCUACUUUAGAGCAUCACCUUGAUUUUAUCGCAGUGAUGGAGACAGGGAGGGAUAACUUUACGUCUCAUUUUUUAAGUUCUCUAUCAGCUGGGGUGGAUUUUGACUGGCACUGUCUCCCUCCAAGAGGAAGGUCCGGUGGGAUCUUACUUGGGGUCCGUUGUGACACUUUUCAAGUGCGGGAGGUGGUGUUUGGGGAGUUUGCAGUCAAAUUCAAGAUUAGAUCUAAGGAUGACGGGUUCCAAUGGGCUCUCGUUGCCGUCUAUGGCGUAGCACAGCCAGAUCUAAAGCCUGAUUUCCUAGCAGAUCUGGUCAGGAUUUGUGAUGACAAACUACCAUUGCUGGUAGGUGGAGAUUUUAAUAUUAUUAGGCGGGCUGAUGAAAAAAGUAGUGUUAAUUUUGAUGGAAGAUGGCCUUUCAUGUUUAACACAAUUAUUGAGAGCUUAGAUAUGAGGGAGACCGCUCUAUCAGGUAGGAAAUAUACCUGGGUGAAUGCUCUACAGAAUCAGACAUUUGAAAAGUUGGAUCGUGUCUUAACUAGUGUAGAGUGGGAGCAGAAGUUCCCUCUAGUAACUGUUAGAGAACUUCAACGCGCAAUCUCGGAUCAUACUCCUCUGUUGCUGGAUUCCGGUGAGGCUAGCCAUAUAGGAAACAAACAUGGAUUCUCUUUUGAAUCAAGUUGGUUCACAAGGGAGGGGUUCAUGGAUAUGGUCGAGAGGGAAUGGAAUACAGAGGUCAGGGGCGAAACCUCUAUAGAAAGAUGGCAGUAUAAGAUUAGACAUCUUAGACAGUAUUUGAGGGGCUGGUCUAAGAAUGUGUGUGGAAUAUAUAAAGAAGAGCAAGAUAAGCUCCUCAAACUUAUAGACAAUCUAGAUCGGAAGGCUGAGAGUUGUCUUCUGGAUGCUAACGAAAGGGAUCUCAAAUUCGAGGCCGGACAGCGCUUGCGUAUUCUCCUAAGAGAGGAGGAAAUGAAAUGGGCGCUUGAGCCAAAGUGAAGGCCAUAGUUCUUGGAGACAAUAACACUAAAUUUUUCCACUUGAUUGCAAAUGGCAAGCAUAGGAAAAAGAAAAUAGUGCAGCUUGAGCAAGAUGAGGGUACAAUACUAGGUCAUGAGAAUCUAAAAUUGUACAUCUCUAACUACUACAAACAUUUAUUUGGUGCUCCUGAGCAUAGCUUUGUGACUAUGGAUGAGCAAAAAGUGGCGGAUAUUCCUCAAGUUGGAGAGGCUGACAAUGAGAUUUUAUCCGCUCCUUUCUCAGAGAAAGAGGUGUUUGACGCGAUAGGGAAUAUGAAGAAUGGAAAAGCUCCCGGUCCAGAUGGGUUUCCGGCGGAGUUUUACAAGCACUGUUGGCAUAUUAUUAAGAAUGAUCUUAUGUCAAUGUUUGCUGAUCUUUUUAGUGGUCACCUUCAACUCUUCCAUUUGAAUUUUGGUACUAUUACACUCUUACCAAAGAAGGAAGGGGCCACGCGGAUUGAACAGUUUCGUCCGAUCUGUUUGUUGAAUGUUAGCUUCAAGAUUUUCACAAAGGUGGGAACAGAUAGGUUGACUAAGAUGGCCCAUUCGGUGGUACAAUCUACGCAAACAGCUUUUAUGCCAGGACGGAAUAUCCUUGAAGGAGUCGUUGUCUUGCAUGAAACUCUUCAUGAAAUGCACUCGAAGAAACUAGAUGGGGUUAUCUUUAAAGUGGAUUUCGAAAAAGCUUACGAUAAAGUCAAAUGGUCGUUUCUCCAGCAAACCCUACGUAUGAAGGGUUUCGAUGAGCUGUGGCGUAGGCACGUCGAUUGUUUUAUAAAGAAGGGAAGUGUGGGUGUCAAAGUGAAUGAUGAUGUGGGUCAUUUUUUCCAGACACUAAAGGGUCUCCGCCAAGGAGAUCCAAUGUCUCCCAUUUUAUUUAACAUUGUUGCUGAUAUGUUGGCACUGCUGAUUAAGCGGGCCAAUGAGAAGGACCUUGUAAGGGGCUUGAUCCCUCAUCUUGUUGAGGGGGGGAGUCUCCAUUUUACAAUAUGUGGAUGACACGAUUCUUUUUUUGGAGCAUGAUCUCAGUAAAGCCAGGAACCUCAAACUUAUCCUAUGCUUAUUUGAACAGCUAUUAGGGCUGAAGAUAAAUUUUCAUAAAAGUGAAUUGUUUUGCUUUGGAAAGGCCAAGGAUGAGCAGCUCACGUAUAAUCAAUUGUUUGGUUGUGCUAGCGGGAGUUUACCUUUUACUUAUUUAGGGAUCCCAAUUCAUCACAGAAAAUUAUCAAAUAAGGAUUGGAAAUGUAUCGAGGACCGUUUCGAAAAAAGUUGAGCUGUUGGAAGGGCGAGCUCUUAUCGUAUGGAGGAAGGUUGAUACUGGUUAAUUCAGUAUUAACAAGUAUGCCUAUGUUUCUCCUAUCCUUCUUUGAAGUACCUGUUGGGGUACGGAAAAGGUUGGAUUUCAAUCGAUCACGGUUUUUCUGGCAAAGUGAUGAGAUCAAGACUAAAUACAGACUCUCGAGAUGGGACAUCAUGUGUAGACCUAAGGAUCAAGGAGGUUUAGGGAUUGAAAAUUUAGAGAUUAAAAAUAAAUGUCUACUCAAUAAAUGGCUGUCUAGAUUAUCUAUGGAGACAAAGGGGUUGUGGGUACAAAUUCUGACGAAUAAAUACCUACAAAACAAGACUUUGGCGCAGGUUACAUUGAGACCAACUGAUUCACCGUUCUGGAAGGGGGUCAUGCGGUCUAAGAAUGCUUUUUUUCUCAGGUCUAAGUUUGUUAUUGGCAAUGGCCAAUCUACUAGAUUUUGGGAGGAUACUUGGUUGGGGGAGACGCCUUUAGCCAUGCAGUAUCCGCAACUCUACCAUAUUACACAAAGGCGUCAGGCGACUGUUGCGUCAAUUUUGCGCCAGGUUCCUCUAAAUAUUCAGUUAUGUAGAGCCUUAAUAGGUAACACAUGGUCAAGCUGGCUGCAUCUAGUGAGAAGGUUGUUGGAUAUUACCCUUACUGAGAACCCUGAUAGUGUUCGUUGGAAGUUGACCACUGAUGGAGUUUUCUCGGUAAAAUCUAUGUAUUUAGAUCUCAUAGAUUCUGUGUCCAUCCCGAAGUCCUUACAUAUUUGGAAGGUCAAAGUUCCACUUAGAAUUAAGAUCUUCAUGUGGUUUGUUCGCAAGGGGGUUAUUCUAACUAAGGAUAAUUUGGUCAAACGUAAAUGAAAAGGUAAUACUAGAUGCAGUUUUUGUGAGAACGAUGAAACAAUUAAACACCUCUUUCUGGACUGUCCUAUGGCUAAACUUCUAUGGCGAACACUUCUUAUUACUUUCAACAUUAAGCCACCCAAUAGUUUAAACACGUCAUUUGGGACGUGGUUAAGAGGGGUCGAUGAUAUAACUGCUAGCCUGAUCCGAGUAGGAUCAUGUGCACUUCUGUGGGCUACAUGAAACUGUAGAAAUGACUUGGUAUUUAACAAACAUCAACAUAUUCACUUUUUGCAGGUCAUUUUCAGGGUUAUUGCCUUGAUCCGCACAUGAUCAUUACUCACUCCUGUGGAAGCCAGGGAGCCUAUGGUUACUGGGUGUGUCCGAUGGAAGAUGGUAGCUCAGGUUAUCUUCAACCGUUUUGGAUGACGGCAUAUUAAUAGGAUAGGUGUUUAGUCAUCUAGGCUUAUUUCAAUGCCUCCCGGUUGUGGCGACGACGCCGUGUAUCUUUUUGUUAUUUUCUUCAUUUACUUAUCUGAAGACUCUUUGUACUUUUCGAGGAUUUGGUUUUGAAAUAAUAUAUGGCCGUAUGCAUCCUUCGAUGCCGAGGCCGGGGCUUUGCCUCCUUUUCAAAACAAAAAAAUUUAAUUUAUCCUUUCAUUGUUAACCCCUUUUUUGGACUGCAGUUAUUCUAACUCUCUUUUAAGUAAUGUAAUAAGGCAUAUCUUUUUCCUCCAUUUCGAGACAAAGUUCGGACCUAGCACAACUGUAACAUCCGCUCUACAUCGACUCACUCUAGAGAGACUAGUCUUGGCACCUUUUGCAGAACAUGAUUAGUGUCCUGACAUGGAGUAUUUUAGCAUAUAAUGGUCAACUCUCAAGCACAUAUCACUUCAAAUUGCAUUGCUGAAAAAGAACAUACACUUGCACGUUUUUCGAACUUUCACGCAACAAUAAAGUAACUCAAUGAAAUAUUAUGAUACACUCAAAAACAAUAAUAAGCACUCAACAAAAUAUCAACAGUUUUAUUUUGAUGGACGUAGUAGGACUGUAUCUGUUGUCCACUUGGCUACUUUAUCAACAUAUUUAUUUCAACCACCCUGAUCAACAGACAAUAUCUAAGUAUGUUAUGCUAAUUGAGUUAAAAUGGAUAAUCCUUAUUUUAUAAGAUGCAAGGAGUCGAAACAUAUUGUGAUUAGUUGCAUGCUACUAGCCUACUACAACACUAUUGAUCUUAGUUAAGAAGAUUAUCUUGUGAUUAGACGAAGUCUAGAUCAUCUAGCCAAGUAUGAAAAUAUUUAAAGGAGCGUGUGGAUACCUUUUCUUCUUUAAUAAAGGAAAAAAAAUUGUGUAUAUAUGCGAGUCUGAAAACAAAGAAAAGAAAGAUGGACAGCUUAUCACAGCUUCACAUAUGUCAUCUACUCCCUGCGUUCCUAAAUAUAAGUCUUUUAAAAGAUUUUACUAAAAGACUAUAUAUGAAGCAAAAUGAAUGAAUCUACAUUUUAAAUAUAUCUAUAUACAUUCUUUAGAAAGACUUAUAUUUAGGAACGGAGGGAGUAAUAGCUAAUUGAGGGGUUCAAAUAACUUUGUUUCGCAAUAAUGAUUGAAAAUCAACCUUUUGUUGAAAUCCGAAACUCUACGUACGGUAGACCUAUUUUUAUCAAGGGAAUCAACAAAGAUGAUCUGCUACAUAAAAAUGCGCGUAUGGUCACUCACGAGCCACAAGGACGAUGCUUGAGUAGUGAUGAGUGAGGUGCACGAUGAGAUUAAAUAUUCCAACUAGUGUAACCGAAAAGUAUAGUAAGUUAGACAUCGUUCUUGGUCCACGAAAAUAGUGGCGUGAUCGAUGACAUCUUGAUGCCGGCCGGAGACUAGGAUCUGGCUGUUUGAUAGGGUACCAAUUAAUUUAUACCCUCCACUUGGCCAACUUACUUCAUCACCAGUCGAUAACUGUAUACGCAUUGUUCCAUAUUCAUGCAUGCACGUGCUUACAGCCCAAGAGCAUUGGGUUUAGCUGGUGCUGUCUGAUCCGCUUGAACUCGUAGAAAAAGGGCCUUUGGCCUGGACCCUUUAGUCCCAGCCUGUCUUUCGGUCGGAACUAAAAGCCGGCCACGUCAUCCCAAAUUAUCAGUUUAACCCGCUUGGCCACCAUUUAUAUCAUUAAAAAACCUCAAAUUUGUAGCGGGGUGAGUUUACAUGUUACCUUGGAUCGCCAUUGUUUUUUUGGCCCUGCGUGUAACGACGAUGGCCGGAGUAGGCUCGUGCAGAUUAGUCCUCCUCUUGGUAAUUAAGGAGUAUAUAUCCACUAGCUAGUGUCUGACAUUCAGAACCUCCACUCGAUGGCCAGAGUAUUUGAUAUUUAUACUCUCCUCUUGGUAAUUAAGGAGUGCAUAUCCACUAGCUAGUGAUCUAAACGUUUCUAUAUUAAUUUAUGGAGGAAAUAUUUAAUAAGGUUAUUACCCAACAUUACAGGCGCCAUCCGAUAAACCAUAUCACUUUUUUUUGCGAGGACCUAAACCAUAUUCAAAAUGCAGAAUUACUGGCACGUGGUGUAGUUUACGGAUCGAGCCUCCUCCUUCGUGGGCACCAUAGUAGUCAUGCAAGACAUCGUAGUUAUAUAGUGGUCAAGUGUGAGUUAUGAUUGCUUGUAUAUUUUUUAUGCGAUUUAUGAGUCAAUAAAAGUGCUUUUAUUGAGAAAUGUAUCUAUAUUGAUUAUUGUUGAACCUGCCAUUAAUGUAACUAUUUACACAUGUGCGGGGCCAUGCCGUCCAACACGAGGAGCUUCAAAGCGUAUGUGUGGGAGGGGAGUGCGUCGAUGCUGCAAUGACGAACUGCUCUUGGUCGGCGUCCAGCCGGUGUUCCUCACCGGCCAGACCGAGGACCAUAGGGACAUCAUCGUCACCAACCUCCACCGCCCGAGUUCAAGGGCUCCACGGUAACCUACAAGUCUCAUGAGAGGCAGAAGUUGCCGACGACCUGGUAUGUCAUCGUGGGCACCAUUGAUGACCAAGGGAACGACAUCCUGGGGGUAUCCGGUGGGGGGCACACCUUCAAGUUGCCCGACCACAACGGCUAGGCUACAUAGAGAUCGGCCAUGCCUUGAUUGAUUUCUUGAGUAAGCUCUAUGCUUUCAAUUGUAUGCAUGUUUAGUAAACAAUCCCUCCCUAGUUGUUGCUUUGUUCAUUUUCAUUGUCGAGAACUUGAGAUCAAUAGUUAGUAUUUAUAAGACGUGUUACGCUAAAAGUUGCAUGCAACAUAAUCAAUGGUUUGUUGGUUUUAUUGUUUCUCUCUAUUACGAGAUCCAUGGGCUAUAUUGUUGUUUGAUGUAUUGUAAUUCUUAACUUGGAUCUGUAAUAUUGAUCAUGGUGUACUUUUUAACUAAAGAUUGUUGAUGGUGGAAUUAGUAUGAAAGGUACAUAGUGCUGUCACACAUAGGGUGUCACUACUCCCAUUUUGGCCCAACAGAAGGAAGGGUCAUCAUUUACGGGUCACCAGACUGCGUUAGUAUAGAGGCAACAAGGUAUUUUAACCAUGCCGAACAUCAUUAUUGUGAAGAUUAAAAAUGAGGCGGCAACUUGGGUCAAUUUUUGGGGUGGAGGAUUUGAGAAACACUAUGCCCCGUGAGAAACUCCGCUAUAUUAUUUAAGUCUUUCGUUUUUAGCCUCUCUUUUUUCGGCAGCGGUUCUUCCAACUCUCCUAGUAAAUAGAAAGGGGGAAAGAAAAUCUUUUGCCUCCAUUUUGAAAAAGAAAAGGUUGAGACUAACAUCCCUUUCCAUCGACCCACUCUAGAGAGUGUCUCCAACCUUGUUUUCUUGGCCCUUUUGCAUGACAUGAGUAGUGUCCUAACAUGGACUCCUUGAUGUGUAACGCUCAGCUCUCCUGACCAAAUCGCUUAGAAUUACAUCACACGCAAAAGUUAUAUACUUUUGCAUGUUUUUCGCACGUCAAUGCAACAUUAAAAAUUUCAAUGAAACAUUAUGAUACAUUUUGAAACAAAAAAGAACUCAGCAAAACAUACUGUGGAAAUAGAAAAUUUUUGCCAACAACUAAAAAAACGCAGUCAUCAAUUUAGCCGCAACAAAAAUAAGAUGUUAGAAGUCAGAACAUCUUGUGCAUGAUUAUAUGCUAUAGGACUAUUCAUUAGAGAAACUAGUUGGGUAAAACUUUCUCCUUUUUCCGAAUCUCCUUUUUAAUGUGGGGAAAAAGCUAAUGCAUUGUGGUUUAAAGUAAAUAUUACAUCGGCCUGGGAAAUUUAAAAUGAAUCUAGACUGGACGGCUACAAAGAGAACCAUAAAAGUAUUCAAGCACGUCAGAAGAAAAGGAAAGAUAAAAUUCAAAAAAGAAAAGAGAAAAGGAAAGAUGAACAACCUAUCACUUGCCUCAUAUCUUUACCUAAUAAUAAAGAGGCUAUUGCUUCCGUCGAAAAACCCACCGCUGCCGUUUUUUAAAAAGCCCCCUGUCUUUUAGGUAAUUAAACCCGCAGUACCUUUUUAUGUGUUACGAACAUGAAAACGUUUCAUUUUUGCAGGGAGCCUCCCAUGGCAUUGGAUAAGAGAAACGCAUCUGGGCUGACGAAAACGCACGAGAGGGCUAUCGCUUCUGCCCUCAUAAUCCCACAUCGAUACUUCACAGAUAAUUUCAUCACUUUAUAUACAUGCGCCUUGGUGAUUUUACAAGAGGCAACGGAAAUCAAGAGAGGAACAAAUUCGAGAAGAAGAAAUUGAGAUGACGCAAACAGAGGUGGAGCUGCGAGACAGAGGGGGCUCGGGGCGAAGGAAAGGGUCGGGCGCCGGCGAUGCAUACGUGGAGGUGGGGGCGUCGGGGUUAGAGGAUUCAGGCAACCGGCGGGGUAAGUCUUGCCGGAGACUGGCCCCAUAGGCCGACCUCGCAGCAGCACACCAUGGGAGGUGGUCGCGAGGUGCAGAGGUGGGAGGCGGUGGAGGAGCGGAGGAGGAGGCGAGUGCGGGCGCCAUUGGAAGGGGGGAGUCGGGGAGAUUGGGGAUCCUGUGGGGCUCUCUCCCCUAGCGGCGCGAGGUGGAGGAGAGGAGGGGGGCUGGGGAUCGGGCUAGGUUAGGGGAUUUAGGAGUGGGUAAGGCUAUGCCUUGGCACGCCUAAUGGGUUGUGCACUACUACUCAUCUCUCUUUCCUUUAAUUUCUUUAUCUAAAUUCUUUAAUUAAAAAUAUGUGGUAUUAUUUUUUUUCCGUUGCAACGCACGGGUCCUUUUGCUAGUAUCAUCUAACAAAUCGAGGGGUUCGCAUAGAUCUGCUUCGCCACAUAAUAAUAUAAUCAUGACAAAAGGCUACCUUCUGGUGAAAGCAGAAGCUCUGCAAUAAAGCUGCAAUCGUAGACCUAUUUUAUGAAGGGAACCAACAAAUCGAGCUGCACAAUCCAAUUAAAUACUAAUUCCUCCGUUCCUAAAUAUAAGAUUUUUUAAAGAUUAUAUUAUGAACUACAUAAAAAGAAAAAUGAAUGAAUCUAUAUUUUAAAAUAUGUUUAUAUACAUUUGUAUGUAGUUCAUAGUUAAAUCUAUAAAAGGUCUUAUAUUUAAAAACAGAGGGAGUAUAAGUACUGAGUAAGUUUGACAUUUGUUCUUGGUCCAACAAAACAGUCGUGUGACCCAUGACGAAGCGGCGAUGCCGGAGUUGGAUCUCACUGUCUGAUAUUUAUCGAUUUGUGCCCUCCACUUGGCCAGCUUAAUUGAUCACCAGUCUCUUUCAUUGACAAUUAGUGCUGCUCAUACACGUGCGUUGCAUACAGAUGAUAUAUUGGGUUUAGGUACGGCUGUCUGAUCCACUUGGCCACCUUCUCACUAGAAAGCUCAAGUUUGCAGCGACGAGUUUGCAUGUUACUACAUUGGAUCGCCGUUGUUUAGCCCUGCGUGUGUGAUGAGGGGCGGAGACCCGGAGCAGACCCGUGCAGAUUCGUAUUCCCUUGGUUAUGUUUUAUUCUGUAUAUUAGGUUUGUAUAAUGUAAAACCUAAAUUUGCUUCGCCACAUAAUAUAAAAUAAUAUAAUCAUGACAAAGGCUACCUUCUGGUGAAAGCAGAAGCUCUGCAAUCAAGCUGCAAUCGUAGACCUAUUUUAUGGAGGGAACCAACAAAUCGAGCUGCACAAUCAAAUUAAAUACUACUCCCUCCCUUUUUAAAUAUAAAAACUUUUAAAAAUUAUACUAUGAACUAUAUAAGAAACGGAAUGAGUGAAUCAAUACUCUAAAAUACUCCCUCCGUUCUAAAAUAGGUGUCUUAACCUUAAUACAAUUUUGUACUAGAUCUAGUACAAAGUUGAGACAAUUAUUUUAAGACAGAGAGAGUAUGUCUAUAUAUAUUUAUAUGUAGUUUAUGUUGGCUUUGGAUCCGUAGAUUAAUUCACCCAGUAGCUACCACAUACGUGCAAGCUAGCCUCUAAGCUAGCAAGCAGGCACACAAGUGGAUGGAUAUCCAAUUCGUAGAAAUAGAACGACGUACGACGAGCUAGCUAACUGAUUCGAUCGUCUUGACUGCUCGGAAUGUAACUCGUUGAAAAACUGAUCGAUGGAUUGCUAACAGGCUCGUAUCGAGCCUGGUACUUUUUUAUUGCGUUUUGAUCUCUGGUGUUACAAGCAACAUCUCUAGGAUGCCUUUUAUACACAUCCACAAGGAACUAUGAAAAUAGACUAGGACUAGGUAUCCUAAUACUACUAGAACUCGGUUUGAUUUUCUUUCCUAAUCCUAUGUGUACAAGGCAACGUGAUUAACUCACAUUCACCCCCUAAUCACGAUGUCCUUACUUCCGACCUGGGUCCCAAACACGAUUGCUGCUUCUCAUAAAUGUUAUCAUCGACAUGGCCUUUGUCGUCCCUUGCAACAUUUUAUGGACCGUCUUUACUGUCGUCGGCUCGUCCGUAGCUCGAUGACAACACUCCUUUUUGGUCGUGUCUUCAAUCUUCAUCUCUUCUUCGGUGCUUUGUAGACUGUCCUUCGGAUCAUCGAGGGUACAUCUUUUGAACCUGAGCGUGACCAUACUUUGGUCUAACUUUGAAUUUCAAGCUCUUGGCGCUUGCAUCAGCCCGUAACUUUGAACCACAAGGAAGAAGUACUUCUUUCCUCCGUGAGUUGCUGGGGUGAUAGGGCCACAUAGAUCACCAUGGAGCAGCUAGAGUGCAUCACUUGCACGAUAGGUAGACUGAGCAGGGAACGGCCUGCGGUGCUGUUUUCCAACCAAGCACCCGUCACAUACUCGAUCAACAUGGUCGAUAACUGGCAUCCCGGAUACCAUCUCCAUCUUUGACAUCUUCUUCAAGGCGUAGAAGUUAACAUGUCCGAAUCAUCAUCACUCUUGGCGAGCCAACACUCCAGUUGAGAUUGAUCAAGGUUGAGGAUAUAGAGCCUGUUCCGUGUGCGAGUAACACGAGCUAGCACGUUUCGGAGGUUGUCGAAGAUCGUCAUUACUCCGUUAUCGAUACCCACCUUGCAUCCAUUCUCGUCAAGCUUCCCAAUAAAGAUGAUGUUGUUGUGAAGCCGUGGGAUGUAGUACACUCCGGUAAGUAUGCGAUGUUCGCCUGUGAGACCCUCGAAGAGGACAGAUCCUUGCCCACAAAUCUCCACAUUUGAACCAUCACCGAACUUGACUGAGCCUUCAACAUCGUAUUCCAGCUCGAGGAAUUUCUCCUUGCACCCCGUCAUGUGGUUACUGGCACCCGUGUCGAGAUACCACAACACAUUCUGAUCACCAGCUAACUUCGGUGUCACUUUGUUUUCAUGAAGUAGCACCUUCCGGCUUGGUUUCACAACCACCGUUUCAGCGAGAUCACAAACUUCGGCCAUCAGAAGACCUGGACCUUCGUCUUCCUCCUUUGCCAAAUUUGCCUUGAUCUCUCGCUUGUCAUGCUCCGGACAAUCCUUUGCAAAGUGACCCAUCUCGUUGCAGUUAUAGCACUUGACCUCGGACAUAUCCAAGUUCCGUUGCUUCCGCCCUUUAGAUCGGUCAGCCUUACCACGACCUUGUAGCUUGCCUUUUCCUUUGCCUUCUCCGGUUUGUCCGCCGCGCGUUGUGCUGCUUGAGCCUUCGUUGCCAUCACACCUUCCUUUGCUACUUGGGGACUCCCAAUCUGCACGUGAGUACAUGAGUUGGUCACUACCUCCUCCGUUGCCUUCCCGACAACUACGAGAAUUCUCUUCCCACGUCCGCAGGCGUCCGAUCGCCUCCGUUAUGGUCAUGUCGUCGAUGUCGUAAAGCUGCUCGAGCGUGCCAAUGAUGUACGUGAAUUUUUUAGUCACCGAACUGAAAAAUUUCUCCACAAUCUCGGUCUCCUCGAGCUUUGCACCAAGCGCGCGGAUCUCUCCCACCAAAGUAGUAAGACGCAUGGCAUAGUCGUUCACCGAUUCAGUUUUCUCCAUCUGCAACUUGUGAAAUUGGCGCUUCAGCACUUGUGCCCGAGCCUUGGUGACGCGAUCUUCUCCGAUCCUCAUCUCGUUGAGUGCGUUCCACGCCUCUCUUGCCGUCUCGAACUCCACCAAUGUCAUCAGCACGGAAUCCGGCACAGACUGGGCUAUGGCGGCCAUGGCACCUUCGUCGCGCUCCUCGUCGACGUCGUCGUCCGUGAUGGCCUCCCACACUCGAAGAGAUCGGAGAAUAAUCUUCAUCUUCACCGCCCACACGUCAUAGUUGGCAUCGGUGAGCAUCGGGUACUGGAUGGGGAUGUUGCGAUGCGCCUGGACGUUGGCGCUGCUCGUUCCUCCAUCACUCGUUGCUGACUUGUCGUCCUUCUUCACCUUGUCGUCGUUCUUGUUCGCCUUGGCACCGCCUUUGCCGGAUUUGACCGACUCAGCGUCGCUGUCCGUCAUCGUAGAUCGUAGAUCGUCGAGGCUCUGAUACCAAUUGUUGGCUCUGGAUCUGUAGAUCAAUUCACCCAGCAGCUACCACGUACGUGCAAGCUAGCCUCUAAGCUAGCAAGCAGGCACACAGGUGGAUGGAUAUCCAAUAGAACGACGACGAGCUAGCUGACUGAUUCGAUCGUCUUGACUGCUUGGAACGUAACUCGGUGAAAAACUGAUCGAUGGAUUGCUAACAGGCUCGUAUCGAGCCUGGUACUUUUUGUAUUGCGUUUUGAUCUCUGGUGUUAUAAGCAACAUCCCUAGGGUGUCUUUUAUACACAUCCACAAGGGACUAUGAAAAUAGACUAGGACUAGGUAUCCUAAUACUACUAGGACUCGGUUUGACUAUCUUUCUUAAUCCUAUGUGUACAAGGCAACGUGAUUAACUCACAGUUCAUAGUUGAAUCUUUAAAAGGGCUUAUAUUUAAGAACGAAGGGAGUAUAAGUAGUGAGUAAGUUUGGGACACGCCGUUUUGGCUCCCGGACUCAGAUGAGCCCGAGCGUAAACAGUACGCCAGUUUGGGGUGCAAAAAAUGUUCCAAAAAAUCAAAAAAAAUUGUGAUGCAAGAUGCUCCUAUGUGUGAACUCUCUGUAAAAUUUUGUGAAGUUUGGACAUACGAGGAGCUCACUGCAAAAAAGACGAAAUUCAGAUGUGUGAGAAACUUUUGAAAAUCACACUAUUCAUGCCUGAUUUUGUCUUUUUUGCUGCAAACUCUUCAAAUGUCCAAACUUCAUAAAAUUUUACAGAGUUCACACAUCGAAGCAUCUUGCAUCAUAAAAAAAUAUUUUUUUUAAACUUUUUUGUAUUCCAAACCGUUGUACUGUUCACCGGGCUCAUACGAGCCCGGGCUCACAGAUGGAUUACCGGUAAGUUUGACAUUUGUUCUUGGUCCAACAAAACAAUGGUGUGAUCGAUGACCAAGCGGCGAUGCCGGAGUUGGAUCUCGCUGUGUGAUAUUUAUCGAUUUGUGCCCUCCACUUGGCCAGCUUAAUUGAUCGCCAGUCUCCUUCAUUGACAAUUAGUGCUGCUCAUACACAUGCGUUGCAUACAAAUGAUAUAUUGGGUUUAGGUACGGCUGUCUGAUCCACCUGGCCACCUUCUCACUAGAAAAGCUCAAGUUUGCAGCGACGAGUUUGCAUGUUACUACUCCCUGUGUACCGAAAUAUAAGACCUUUAAGAAAAAUUCCGACCAGAUGAAAAUGUGGACAAUUGACCAGGUUACCCCCCACCUCCGGCAGCUCGCUAAUUUCAAAUCAACCCAGAUCCAGUCGCCCCCCACCUCCGGCCAGCUCGCUAAUAACCCAGAUCUCACUACUCUGCUUGUCCGCUCCCUCCUCUGCCCCAGCUUGUCCGCUCCCUCCUCUGCCCCAGCUUGUGCGGCCCCUCCUCUGCCCCUACCUCCUCUGCCCAGCUCGUCUGCUAGCUACCAGCAGCUUCUCCAGUAGCCAGCGGCAGCAGCUCCUCCGGCAGCUAGCAGUAGAUCCAGCAGCUCCUCCACCAGCCAAUAGGAACUCCAGCAGCUCCUCCACCAGCUAGCACGAGCUCCAGCAGCUCCUCCACCAGACACCAGCACCAGCUCAUCCACCAGCCAGCGGCAGCCCCUCUGUCUGCCGGCAGAAGCAGCUCUUCCGCCUCUGCACUCCCAGCUGCCUCAACGAGGUCCUCUCCCAGUGAUGCACCCAUCGCCCAACAGAUCGCCGGAGGUUUUUCUUUUGAUCCAGGGUGCAGAUCGCCACAGGAGGUCCUAGUGGUGUUGGAUCCUGCUUAUCCCGUCUCCUGCAAACCAAAAAAGCAGGACAAUUAGAGGGUAUUUAUCACAACUUAGCAACAGUUGAACAGAAAACAGUUUAACAACAGCAGCAAAAAUUUUAGCGAGAUCAACAACAUCAGUAGCAGCAUCAAGACAUAGCAACAAUAGCAGCAAUAGGGAGACAUAGAAGUAGCGACAUGGAGUGGCAGCAGGAGUUCAUCAAAAUCAAUAGGGAGUAGCAGCAGCAGGAGUUCAUCACAAUCAAAAUCAACAGGGAGUGGCAACAACAUGGAAUUUGACCUCAACUGUACUCCGCCCGAAGAAGAUGAGAUCAGUCAAAAUGAGAUCAACAUGGAGGACUCACAGGGAGGCAAUGAUCAUGUUGAAGAUGAGAUCAACAUGGAGGACUCACAGAGAGGCAAUGAUCCUGGUGAACAUGAUAUGAACAUGGAGCAAAUAAGGGGAGGCAAUGAUCCCCACGAAGAUGAUAACAGUAAGCACAAUAUACUCAUUUAGCAGUAACAGUGUCUCAUUUACCAAGUUUUUGAAAAUGAACAGCAAGUCUAGUUUCUGAAGAUGAACAGUAACUCCACUUUCUAGAAAUAAACAGUAAUAGUAACUCAUUUGAUCAUUUGAACAUGUGACCAUUUAAAUAUUUUAUCAAUUUAUCAUUUGAUAAUUUGAGUAGGACUAAUAUUUUUUCAUUGUUGUGUUUCUUGUUGCAGUUCUUGAGCAAGGAGUUAGAAAGAGGAAAACUCUGAGUGACCAACAAAAAUAUGCUGCUUAUGUGGCAUUGCACAUAUUAUGUAUGAGUAGAGGUGGAAAGUUCAAGAUAACGGAUAAGAAAAACCUUGCACAUUUUUUUAAUGUAGAAUUGAGGAGUAUACAAAGAGUUUGGCAGAAGGCGAUGAAGCAAAUUUCAGAAGGUUUCGAGGUGGAUGUUUCCAACCAGAAAAAAGGAAAUGUGGAAGAAAACCAAAGGACAUCAACCUAGAGAAAAUCCCUACAAUACCACUCAAUAGUAGGUCUACUAUCAGAUCAUUAGCCUGGCAACUGGGAUGUAGCCCUACCACUCUCCACAGGAAUUCAAAAUGAAGUUGAUAAAGAGGCAUACAAACUGUGUCAAGCCAGCUCUAAAGGAAAAGAAUAAGAAGGAUAGAAUGAAAUUUUGCUUGUCAAUGCUUGAUGAGGCAACAACAAAAACUGCAAGGCCUAAGUUCAAGACUAUGCAUAAUGUUGUACAUAUUGAUGAGAAGUGGUUUACGAUGACCAAGAAGAAUAAAACUUAUUAUCUGCUGGAUGGGGAGGAAGAGCCUACAAGGCCUAUACAUGGCAACUGUAUUGGCAAGGUUAUGUUCUUGACGGGCGUAGCUAGGCCACGGUGGGAUAGUGAAGGAAAUGUGACCUUCUCUGGAAAAACCGAUGAACUCACGAUAAACUGCGUGCGCUCUUUGUCCCAGUUUCAGUUCCCUUGUUCUUGCUUUUCUAUAUCCCGAUGAACUCACGAAUCCAUGAUCCAUGGUCAAUCCCCAAUAUAUAUACUCAAGCAAUAUACUCUCUCAGCAGUAUAUAAUCAAUCAUACAGGAAAGAGUAUCACUCUCUCAGCAGAAUACAUACUCACGAAUCCAUGGUCAAUAGCAGCAUAUACUCCGUGUGGGGAUUAGUCUAGCUCGUAAGCCACGGGUCCAAAUCAAGCAAUAUAUCUACACUAGAAUCUGUAGCAGAGUACACAUCUGACAAAACCGAGAGAUGUGGAGAGGAAGGGGGUAAGAGACGGAAGGGUACCUGGGUGAGGUCGCUGAGGUGGAAGCAGCCGGUGGAGCGGUCGAGGUCGCCGCUAGGGUGUCGCCGGUGCACUGGAGCUCUGCCAACUCGUCCCCAACUCGACGCCCAGCUCGACGCCCAGUCCGGCGCCCAGCUCGAUGCCCAGGUCGACGCCGUCAUUGCUCGGGCUCGGCUUCAGCGCCUCCUUCACCCUGUCCUUGCUCGCCCAGCUCGUCGGCUUCUUGGUCUCGACGAGGCUCCCGCUGAAGUACUCCACCCCCGCCGCCGCAUAGACGAGCAACCCAACUGAGGGCGCCCGCAGCUCCCGCUGAAGUGAUCUGCUAUGUCCAGCACCACUCCGUCAUCCAUAUCCAACAUCGGCGCCCACACCAGCUCUGUCGAUGCAAAACAAACACAUUUUUGACCUUUGAGUGGGAAAGGAAGGAGAGGAAGCACGCAGUGGGAAAGGAAGGAGACAACACACGCGGUGGGCUGUGGGAGGAAGAACGCGGUGGGCUGUAGGAGGAAGAACGGUGGGCUACGGUGGCCGGCGACGACGUAGAGAGGCGACGAGGGAGGGGAAUGAGAGGGUGUGAGAUCUGGGCAGCGAGUGGAUGAGAAUGGGCAGGUGGGGGCAUUUUCGGAAACUCGGAAAGUUUCGUAGUGUCGCGAGAUUUACACUAGAAUCGCUAAAACGUCUUAUAUUUCGGUACAGAGGGAGUACAUUGGAGCAGACCUGUGCAGAUUCGUACUCCCUUCGUUUUUAUUUAUUCUGUAUAUCAGGUUUAUAUAAUGUCAAACCUAAAUCCUUUUAACAAAUUUGUAGAAAAAUAUAUCAACAUAAUCCCUUCAUUUCACAAUUUAGCGCUCGUUCGUGUGCUUUUCGAGAUCUAAGUUUGACCAUACCUUUAAACAAGAAGACCGAUUGCUAUGGGAGCAAAAAUUGAAUCACUGAAUUUGUAUUGAAAUUAAAUACUGAAUUUGUAUCGAAAAUAUAAAUUCAUUGGUAUAAUUUCUGUUGCCACCGCAGUCGGUCUCGUUGGUGAAAUUUAUGGUCAAACUUAGACCUCAAAAAACGCGAGCGCACUACAUUGUGGAACGGAGGGAGUAUACACCAUCAAAUCAAUAUCAUUGGAUUCAUCAUUUCAUAUAUUUUCACAUCAUAUAAAUUUAUUAUUGUAAAUGUUCAUAUCGUUUUCUACAAAUUUCAUCAUACUUUAGAUAGUUUGACUUCAGACAAAACUAAUAUGAGGAGUAAAUAAAAUCAGAGGGGUACCACUCCUAGUAAUUAAUGUGUAUAUCCACUAGCUGCUGAUUGACAUUCAAAUUCUCCACUUGACGAUGGCCAGAGUAUCUGAUAUUCAAACUCUCCACUUGGCCACCUUAUUUCUUCUCCCCAAAUGAGCUAUGAACUGCUCAUUCAUCCAACAUUAAAAUCACUGUGAUGAAACUCUACUCUUUCAGUUUCAUAAUUAGUGCAUAUAGUUUUUCCCCAAAAAACUAAACUUUGACAAAGAUUAUAAAUAAAAAGUCUAUAUCUAGCACAUUGAAUACAUACCAAUAGAUUCGUCAAAAAUAUUUGCAUAUAUUAUAUGAUGGUAUUGUGGAUAUACAUAGAGUUAUCUAUAAACUUGGUCAGAUUUUACAAUGUUUGACUUUUCUAUAAAACCAAUAUGCACUACACUAGGGGAUGGAGGGAGUAUCGUAUGAAAUAUUAUGUGGAAUUAUUCCGUUUCAGACAAUGUUUGGUAUCAAACACAACAGGUACAAUGUUCUAUAGUUUCUCCAAUGUGCAGAAUUAUUAGUUGAAUUGGCAAUUAUUUACAGGAGGGGAGUGCGCUGGUGUGACCGAAAACUAAGUGGAUCGAUGUAUAACAAGCUUCUUUUGGUCGGCAUCAAGACGGUGUUCCUCAUUGUCCGAAUCGAGGACCGGAGUGCAGUAAAUUUUACCAAUCUAUGAUGCGCUCUGGGUGGAUGAAACUGCUCCAAAAGUUGCCCGAGUUCAACGACUCUGUGGUGACCUACGAAUCCGGCGAGCGGCAGAAGUUGCAAGACGUCAGGUAUGAUAUCGUAGGCAACAAUAGUGACCAGUGGAGUGACAUCCUCGACACACCCAAGGGCACCCGCACCUUUAAGCUUCCCUACCCGAUGUACUAAAUCGGCUAGGUUGAAUGCUAGCUAAUCGUCCACGAAUAAGCUCCAUGUUGUUCACUAUCCAUGCUUUGUGAUUACCUUUUUUCCGGGCAUGCUUCCUCAAUACUAAUCCACUAUUACUGCUAGUUUUCUAAUUUCUAUUGAGAAAUCUAUUGCUGCUUGGUUAAAUUCCAUAGUUGGGACCUUGAGUCAGUUACUAGUAUUAAUAAGGUAUGCUACAAAGAAAUUGCAUCUUGCAUAAUCAAUGAAUCGAUGCUCCAUUUUUCCUUGAUUAUAUAAUAUAUGUAGUUUCUAUUUUACACUUUGAUUUAUUUAUUUUUUACUUUUAAUAUUUCCUUUUUUUUCAUUUUCUAGUUUUAUGUUUUAUUUUUUUAUUUGAUCUCCCUUAUGUAUUUAUUUUCUUAUUUUAUUCUUUAGAAUGCUUUCUAUUUGUAAAAAAUAAUGAAUUUUUCCAUACCCUAAUAGUUAAAAACAAUUCCGGGAUAUUAAAAUUACGAUGAACAAGGUCCUAAUAUACGUCGAGAUUUUCCCAAAUACCUGAUGAAUAGUUUUUAUAUGUUUAAGUACAUUUAUAAUUUUGUAAUUACACCAUCAAAUUUAAAUAUAUUUUAAAUAUUUGUUGAAUGCACAAAAAGCAUUUACUAAAUAAUUCGGAACAUUUGCUAUUACAUUGUGAACAUUUCUAGAAUACACAUUGAACAGUUUCCAAACCAUGAUGACUUUUCUAAAUAUGCAUUAUAAAAUUUUCAGUUACACGAACUAAACUGUUUUACCCUGAAUUAUUAUUAUUUUUAAAUUUGUUUUUUCUUAGAAUUAUAAAUAAAAUUAAAUUGAAGUGUUUCAGAGUAUAAAGGACAGAACGGGUAAAAACAAUGACAGAAAAAAUAAAAAUUGCAUUGGGUCGGGUCAUUGUGGAAUACUAUGGGCGAGCCCAAAGGAGUGUUCAUUACUGGUGAAUUAUAGUAGCAACGUGAGGGAAAGUGUGCUUCUCAGCCCGAGCUCAAAUGAGCUCUGGUGAACAGUAAAAUCCAAAAAUAAUUAAAAAAAUAUGAAAUUGUUUGGUGAAAGAAAUUGAAAAUAGUCGUAACUGCCUCCAAAAUUGUAUUAUGAAAUAACAUUUAUUGAAGCCAUGGAGAAAACAAAAUCGAUACUCCAAAAUGCUUUUGAAAUUAGUAUUUUCAGAGUAUCGAUUUUGUUUUUUUGCCACAUGUCACACAAAUGUGAUUUUCUGAUGAAAUCUUGCAAGAUAUUAGAACUUUUGCCAAUGUUUAUCACAAAAAAAAAUAGAUUUUUCUGGAUUUUUUUAAUUUAGUUUUGAUUUUACUGUUCAUCAAAGCUCAUUUGAGCUCGGGCUGAGAAACUCCACAUCCCAACGUGAGCGCCUAUUUGGUGUCGUGCUCAUUUCUGGUAGCCGACAAACUGAGUGGUUUUGUGCGUGACGUAAAAGACACAAAACAAUCAGGGCACUUCGAAGGAAUCAACGUUGUGUCCUUUCACAGGGAAUGCGUGAUGCUAGUUGCUGGCCACUCGUGCCAACAAUUUUUGCUAAUAGAAACACAACAACAAUGUGCAGGAAAUUACUGCAGCGGUGAAUUCCAAAUAUUUUCUAAAGUACACAAAUAUUUCAUCAAAUCUGAACGUUUUUUGAAAAAUCACAGUAUUUUUAAGAUGCCCAAUAUUUUUUUUAACUUUUCAGAAUAUUUUAAAUUUCAAACUUUUUUUUUAAAUUGCCAAACAUGUUUUGAAUUUGUGGACAAAACUUUUGAACAGAGAAACAGUUUUACAACAUCUGAAACCUUUUUUGGAACGCAAUAAGUUUUUCCAAAUUUCCAAGCAUUUACAGAAAAUGGAACAUAUAUUGACCAUUUCCAAACAUUUUUCAAAAACAUGAAUACUUUUUGAUUUAUGAACAUCAUUUCAAAACAGGAACAUUUUUUGAUAAUUCUGAACUAUGUUAGAAAAUGCGAACAAUUUUUGGACGUUUGUUGAGAACCCAAUCAUUUUUAGAAGAAAAACAAUUAUUAAAGUUUCAGACAUUUUUUUACUUGUGAAGUAAUGACCAAAGAAAACCAUAAAAUGUAAAACAACCGAAAAUAAGGAAAAAAGGAAAGAAAAAGUUGAAAAAAAUAAAAAUAUGAAUAAUAAAAAAUAAUAAAUUCUGGAAAGCAGUGAAAAAUAAAUCACAAAACGGAGACCAGUUUAUACGUCCUGCUGCUAUAUGACAAAGUAAAAAAUCUAAAAAGAAAAUCCCACAACAAAAGCUAUUUGACAUACCGAGCGUCAUAUAGAAAAUUCAAACAACAACCACCACAGAACGCUGAUACAGAUGACGGGCAGGUGGAUGUUUCUCAGAAUCAGAUUUUGAAGAAUCAUGAGGCGAAAAGAACUGGUGCCUGCAAUCGGCCGUGGCAUGUACACAGGUGCUAGUAAUGAUAUAAAUCACGGAUAUUGAUUUUGAAGGUCGAGCUCCAUGGAGGUCUUUGAAUGCAAAAUUCAAAAUUCAUGAAAAUAUUUUUUUUUUAUAUUUCGAAAAAUUCCGUAACAAAUACAGAGAUAGAUGAAGGCAUAAUACACAAGUGUGUAAAUUUUUAGGACCAAAUACGUUGAAAUAAGGCUGUACAAAAAAGGCAAAUCUGAGGUUGUUUAACACAUGAUACUAUUCAUCCUCUCGGAACAUGAUUUUAUAUUUUUAUACAGGUUGCAUUUCAACGUAUUUCAUCCUUGUUUAGUUUUAUAAUUGUUUUCAAAAAAUCUGAGGAUGAGGCAUAUGUCUCACAUCCUUGUUUAGUUGUAUAAUUGUUGUAAGAUUUUUUUUUUAAUUUUGAACUUUUCAAAAAAUCGGCCUCGGCCAAAACGCCUUUCUCUAUAAAUCGUGAUUUGUAUACUGGUAAGAAGAAUGAAGCAAUGCAUAUUCAACUAAACAAACUACAUAUUGUCUUGAAUUCACUCAUUUGGAAUCUAGCUAGAAAGGGUGCUUUUUAGGUGCCCAGAUUUUUUAAUUUUUUUGAGGGAAGUGACGAGGUUCUUGGGAAGAAAAGAUUUAACAGAUUCAUUGGUUUUCACAAAGAGAGCAAAUCAAUAUGAGCGCAGAAGCAAUCGAGUUUUGCCAUUAUUAAGCAACAACAUGACAUACAUGAUACAACUAGAGGUACAUAUAGCUAAAUUAGCGGAAGCCCUUUGUAUUGGUACUGCUCGCCGAGCUCCGCGAGCAGAUCGUUUUCCGCCUUGAGUAUGUCGCCCAUGUUGUCCAGCAGGAGGUACUUGUCCAGCGAGAAGCCCGACUCCGGCGAGAUGAGCGCCGCGACGUUUCUCAGGAACUCCUCGUCUAAUGGGGCAAGGGGCUCCCACUUUUGUCCCGACGUCAGCAGCGGCUUCUGAGGUCGCCGCCUCACGACCUUCAUUUUCUUCUUCUUCAUCGUCAUCCUCCUCUUCUCCCCUCUUGCGGGCGUCGGCGACUUCGCCCCCGCCUCCGUGUUCUCACACGAUGAACUCGCCAUGAUUCUUCUCCCGUCCUUCUUCCGCUGAGAAGAUUGGUCUGCUCUGCUGGUUUCGCAGACUUGCGUGCUCGCCGGCACCGGUAUAAAUACAGCAAAAAUAAGAGAUCGAUGAUUCAUUUCUUGGCUAGGGGAGCAGUUCGUUGUAUCCGACUCGUAUUCAGUCCACGGUUCCGGUUCCUACUCCCGCAUGGUCGACGCAUCGGUUGGGAUCCUAAUUGGGACGGCCCAAUGGUAGGUUAUUUUAUAGUAUUUUUAUGUAUAUUGUCUAUAAGGACGUUACUGCAUCAAAAAGAAAAGUAUAAUGGCUCUGCAUCUAGUCUAGUUGCUGAAGCGUGUGCGUCGAACAGCUUCCCCAUCGCUUAGUGACAGUUCAUGAAAUCGUGUGCGAUGACCAUUUCUAUGGAUUUUUUUUGCAUGAUAAUAUGUGUCUCAUUUAUAUCAUAAUGAAAAUAAUACAAGACCAUUGUUGUGGAUUAUAACAACACAUAUACACAGCCAAAUACAAACCCUACGGUCUUGGUCACAAUAUAGUGGUACAGGUGUCCAUUAGGACAUAUGUCCGUGUGUUGCAACGGAAAAAAAAUUAAUUUGUAUUUGCAAGCACAACACGUCAUGCUCCGCUACGAAAGAACGCUAGUUACCACAUGACCAAAACGACCAUCGAUGCAUCACUACAUCCAGAGAGUGUCACCACCUGCAGGGAGGCGCACGUCAAAGCCUUCAACAAACGCGGGGACUAUGUUACUCCCUUUGUCAGACAUUAUUAGGCUGGUGGACCACUUAGCCUCAGCCGGACAUUAAUCAUGAAGUGAGCCUUAGCGCAGAUGGUAAAGAUAUCUUCAACGUGACGAUGUGGCGUUGUGGCUCCCUGGCCCAGAUCUUCCCACCAAUGAAUAGUAAAAUCGACAAAAAAUAGAAAAAAUGAUUUUUUUUUUUGGAGUGCAAGAUGUUCCUUUGGGUGAUGUCAAAAACUGCUUGGAGCUGAUUUUUAUUUUUUUUUGCCAGACGCUCCUCGAAUGUCCAAAUACCUCGAAAUUUUGCAGACAUUUUAGCAUCUUAUGAGCCAAAAAGGAUUCAGAUUUUUUUGAUAUUGUGCUUUUCACCGGAUGCAGAUGAGCCGGGGACCAUUUUGAUUAUUAUUAUGGCUAAUCUAGUUUAAAUGUGUCAUUGUUCAUGUAGCCCACAAUCAUUUUUUCUUUUAUUGUUUGAACACACCACGUCCUUCAUUUCUUUUAAAGGUUUCCUUGCAUGUCUGCUCGUCGUGCAGUUCAUUCCUUUUAAUUGUCAUUCCUUUUAAUUGUCCGCUUUUAGCAUCCAUUUUUAACUGUCUUGCUGAUAUUCCAAGCAAACCGCAAGGUAUAUAAACCGGUAGGGAUCUAUCUAAAGAGGCAAGGUGGGUUUAUUUAACAUAAAAUAUUGAUGUCGAGUUAUUUUUAAAAAAACAGCCUCAACUUUAUUAAUUAGAGAUAAUUGUUACAUCGUCUAUUAAAAAAGAUACAAUAUUUUCCAAAGGCUCCUCAAUCCACUCACUCGUAUCAGAACUCUUUGCUAAUCUAGCAAGCUCAUGUGCUACUUCGUUCGCUUCUAGUAAAAAAAAUUCAGAAGCCAUAGAAAAACAAUCCUCAAAGGUUGCAGCCGCCGCUCCCGCAUAGUACCCUCCCUUGUUCAUUGUUUCAAUUACUUCCGAGAAUAUUGAUGUAGAGUUGGUUAGUGCAGUUGCCUUACCCUGGACAUGGAGUAUUGAGUUUAAUCUUCCAUAAAUACAUAUUUUUGUACACGUUGUUCGUGGCCCAUGGCAGACGGCCCAAUAUUGUAGCGAAGCCCAGCAGUGCAGCAACCUGACAUGGUACGAUAGAUGGUGAGGUGUAUGCGUGCUAGCAACGUAAGAAAACGGCCAGGGAGAGGCAAUGUAUGUACAAUAUUUUUAACCAUGGAUUCAAGCUCGUAAAAUUUUGAGACUUUUCCAUAAAACUGUAUGACAGACUAAGAAUACAUAUUUUCUUAAUUAGUAGGUAUAGAUGCGGCAAGUGGAUUGUUUCCUGGUUUUGGGAAGUUUCCAUAAGCUUUUCAGACGGUUUUUCAUUUUUUCUAUUUUGGGGUUUUCCUGUACCAAUCUUGUCUAUUUUUUAUUUUCUACUUAUUUUCAUUUUGCUUUAUUGCAUAUUCUUUUACUUUUUUUCAUUUUCCUUUUUCUAUUUAAUUUUGGCAAAACACGAAUUGUUUCAAUUUUAUGAUACUUUUUUUAAUUGAGGAACUCCUUUUCGAACUCGUUUUUUCAAGUUCAUCAUUAUUAUUUUUUAAAAUUAUCACCUUUUUAAAAAAUAUAUGAACUAUUUUUAAUGUUUGUGAACGCUGUCUCAAAAUUGAUGAACUUUUUUCCUAAAUGCUGAAGUUUAUUUUAAAACUGAUGAACUUAUUUUAAUAUUUGAUGAUCUAAUUUUAAAACCGGAGAAUGUUUUUGCAAAAUAGACGAACUGUUUUUCUAGCAUAUGUACCUUUUGAAAAUUCAUGAACUUUUUUUCAAUUUUUGGGCUUUUUUUAAAAGUUGAUGAGCUUUAUUCAAAAUCGUGAAAUAUUUUCCAUCUAUGUGCAACCUCUUUUUUCAAAAUCAUGAACAUUUUCGAAUUGAUGAACUAUUAACAGAGAUUAUACGCAUGACCUUUUUUGAAUUCGCAAACUUUUUGUUGAAAUAUCUGCAUUCUAUUUGAUUUUCUGAUUAUUAUUUUCAAGCUAGCGAGCGUGCUCGUGGGCUCACCCAUGCUAGCAAUGGUGCGAGCUGGCACUGGCGCAAAACGCGUCAAUUAGGAAGAGCAACUAAUUAAGGAGUACUCGUCCGAGAGCCUCUCGAAGGGUCCAUUGCCACGUGUCGUACUCUUGGUGUUUCCUUUGGAUUUUUUUCUAUACAUAUUUAUGUCUGGAAUUUUGGCUUUAAGAUGAUUUUGUUUUCCGGGUUUUUUUGGCUUUUCCGUUUACCCCCGAUUUUUCUUACAAUUUAGACCCAAAAAUAAGAUUUUAAAGAAAAAUCACAAAAAAAUGCAUUUUCUCUUUCUUUUUUCCUACCCUGAGAGACAUGGAUUUGCUUCUCUUAGAGGCACAUGUGCCUCCUGAAAAAGCAAAAAAAAUGUUUUUUCCUUCCGCGAGGCAAGGUCGUGCCUCUCAGAAAAGAAAAAAGAUCCAUUUUUCCUUUCACGGAAGUACGGAUUUGCUUCCCUGAAAGGCCUAGUCGUGCAUCUUGAAAAAGGAAAAAUGCAUGUUCUCAUGAAGGAAAACAACGUGGUUUUAGUUUGGUUUUUUUGUUUGAUUUUUUCGUGAAAAAAAGUCCAACGAAACAUAUCAACAUGUGGUCUAGUUUUUAAGAUCUCGACGCAUGGAAUCUAACGGCAAAACCAGUUCUAGAUUUGGACGUAGGUUUUGAGAGAUAAAAUGUUUUGAAUAAACAAAUCUGCGAAAAAGGAAAAACCCUUAGGUUGCUACAAGUGACGCACAUGCAGUUGAAGACUUGUCGCACCCUGGGUUGGGGGAGUGAUCUUUGCCAAGAGUAGUUUUCAAUUAGUGAUUUCGCUAAUUAGAAGCUCGCAUCAUCUCCGAUGCGAGCACUAGUGGAUCAGCCCAUGUGCGCUCAUAUGGGUUUUUUGGAGCGGCUUUUGGAAGCUUCUAUGGAGCUGUUUAGACAAAUUUGAAAACCUUUCAUUCAUUUUUUAUGUGUUCACUAUAUAGAUUUACAUGGACUAAAGUAAAAUGUAGAUUUACAUUAUUUUUUCCCUUAGUUUUCUUUGUGUGUUUUUAUUCAUUUUUUGAAUACACAUGGAAUUUUUGGAAAUACAGUUCGAAUAUUUUUUGUUUACAUGUUAUUUCUUUUAUACACGUUGAUGAUUUUUGUAGACACAUUUAAGUGUUUUCCAAAAUAAACAGUAUUGAUUUGUCAAAUGAACAUUGGAUUUCUUAUGAAUAUAAGGUGAACAUUUAUGAAACACCCAUUGAACAUUUAGAAAAAUUCCAUGAACAUUUUUUUCUUAAAGCAUGCAAAACAGUUCUUAAUGUUAGAACAUAUUUUUUAAUGUCAAAGACAUUUUUGUUGAAUGGUACAAAAUAUUAUUUAAAAUUACAAGACCAUUUUUACAUACUAGAAACAGUUGUGGAAAAUGUUAUGACCAUAUUUUUGAAACGGCUGAAUAUUGUUUAAAUUUCAUAAAUAUAUUUAGAAUGGUAUGUCAAAAGUUUAAAAAUAUGUGAAUAUUGUUUCUACAUUGUAUAAAAAAUUUAAAAACUGUCAUGAACAUAUUUCUGAACACAUGAACUAAAUGUCAGGAACAUUUUUCGAAUGGUACAAACAUUUUUAAAAUUGUGGAGACAAUUUAUUACACUACAUGAACAUUUAUUUGAAACACGCAAUGAACAAGGGGUAAGGGACACGUGUCAUGUGCUUUGCUAGCGCAUCGUGGUUGCUGAGUGUCUCAUUCCUUUGUUGUUGAGUUUUGUUUUAGUGCGGAGUGUUUUUACAGUAUACUCGAGAAAGAUCCUACGUUACGAAGGAUGUGUUUGGUAGGCGUUUCUAGCGGGACUGGCUCGUGGACAUUGGCUCAACAAAGUUUGGUUGAGAUAAAACGAUCAUAAAACUAACAUCUGCAUUUAGUUUGGUUGCCGGCAUACAUUCUAAACUGAAUGGGGUGUCAUGAAAGACAUACUAUUUGGUUGUCUGUUUGUGUAUGCGCAAACACAAGGCCUACUAUUUGGCUGCAUGCAACACUUGUUGUGAGAUAACCUCUUCGAUGCGGUGGUGAGGUUACCAUCACAUAGCGGCGUCAGGAAGAACACACAACAUAACAUAGUAGUAAGCAGUUAUAAAUAUUGUGUCACAUUUAAAUAGAUUAGUUUAAAUGCAAAGCAGUUCAAUAUUAAACUAAAGCAACUAGAGCAUAUGAGCGGUUGUCCUAGACGUUCACAACGAAGGCAUCGUCAUGUCUCCCGCACCAGGCCACCACUUUACUGCCAUCGUCAUUGAAGACGAUGACCUUCACCAUGUCGGGAGUCAUCAACUGUGACCAUGAAGCCUAUCUUGAUUUGUUGGACGGCGACGAAGGUGGCCCAAACCUGGUCGAGGGUGACCCUUUCGUUCAACAGACGGACAAUGACCCUCCUAGAGCACUCGGUGUUCGCCUUCAAAUUGAACUCCUGUGGCAUAGACGGGAAGUGCUUCAUGAAGUCGAGUGGCAUAGGUAUGGCCUCGAGUGGCAUGAUUACCUUGCAGAAGUUAUUUGGCUCACCCAUCUCAUGGUAGUGGUCGUAGUUCUGACGCUUGUCGCUGGGGGGCUCCUCCGCGUAUCGUUGUCCGUGACCGGGCUCUGGACAGGCGCCACCUUUGAGGGCGGCACAACAUCCUUGCACUUGUAUUGCUCCUUUGGUGGCACCACCUCAUUGCCCUUGUUCUCCGUGUCGAUUUGCAGUGUGAAGAGGUUCAAACGAUUGGGUCAGGAUUUGCAAUAUGAACAUUGCAUCAUUGUCAUUAACUUAUUGUCGAGAACCCCAUUAUUUACCUAGGCUGAUGGUUACCACUUACCCACCACCUAGUUGUUUGUCUCUCUUCCUCCAACCCAAUGCCAUGAACUCUAAGAACAAGUCUAACCCCAUCCGCAACCCCUUUCCUUGGGGCAUUGGAUGGAGGGCCUUCUUCCUAGGGUGCUCGCUCGAUGACCGCACCAAGUUUGAGAACACCAUGAAAGUGUGUUCAAACUUCAACAGCUUGGAGGAGCAGUACAAAGAGUAGGACGCUAUGGUGAAGAAGGCGAGUCGGAGGAGUUGAAGACGCUGAUCAGUGACCCAAUGAAGGGUUCUAUGUGAGCCGACAUACUUCAUUGAGCCAUGAAUCAAGCCGUCCCCGGCGACGCUGGACAGAGGGAAAACUGAGCCAAGUACAGACAGCAUCGGUGUUCUUAUGACCACGGGGCCGCAACGUACUUCACCACAAAGAUUAUGGUGGUGCCGGUGGAGGAGCAUCAAGAAGUGCUGGCUAUGGAGGUGGAAGAGGAAGAUGCAGUGGCGACGAUUGUGAGGGCGCUGGAGCUAGGACACCUAAGCAUGCCAAUCAAGUUGGACUCCGGCGAGGAAGAAGAUAUGGUGGUGUAGGUCGAGGAGAAGACCAAGGCCAAGGCUACCCACCGCUCCAAUCGCCUCCAGGGUCCUGUGUACUAUGUAAGAUGAACCCUAAUCCCCAUUCCGAUUGUACUCAAUCCUGAUUGGGAACCUCAUAUCUACCCGUAGUCAUGACGAUGUUAUGACCACUCCUAUGGUGUUUACCCCGAUUCCCCAUUCUCCUAACAUGGAUCGAACCUAAACUCGGAUCAAAUGCAAAGUAGUACAUGAGGAGGGGGGAAAGUGCUUACCGCCAUUGCCGAAGUGCUGCUGUGGAUGCCGGUGAAGAGGCCGGAGUCGAUUUGCUGUUCCUCGAUCUGAUGCACGCCAUCGCCGCCGUCGGUGAGAGUAGGGAGAGUGGAAAGAGAGCGGUGAGAAAAGGUAAGGGUAAUGACUGUCGACGCUUCGGGAAACAACGCGGCUUCUCAAGGGUGGCUCCCCUUGUGCAACCCCUGCCGCCCACGUGCAUCGCAGAGGCCUGGCUCGCGAGAAACUACCAAUUCGAACGUGCCUCGCGAGACAUACCCAGACAUGCUUUAAAGUUCGUGACAUGCAGGCCCAACAAUGUAUGUUGACAACCAAUCAGUUUGUUUUCUUUCCACGGGCCUGGUUGGACCUUAUGCGGGCAACCAAACGCAUCCCCAAGUGUUGUUUAUUUGUCGGAAUUUUCUAAGGUACUGGGCAAACGACAUGUGUACUGAGUGCCCAUGAAAUUACACCAGGCAAACUGUAAAAUACUCAGCGUAAUUUUUUUCCUGUAGUUGUACAAUUGGCUGCGCUGCAGUUCCAAAUUUGAUAAAGUUACAAGGUUGGUGUACCAGAAAUUCAUUAUCUACCAAUCAUCAAUAUGUAUGCACAAAACAGUUGCCUGUCUGGGCCUUUGUAUCAACGUCCAUCCAUGUGUAACACGUUCAGCGGAACCGUCUACCAAACGUCUGACAGACACAGACACGUGCAUAUCCUCCAAACCGGGCAGGCUGGUUGCUUGCGCCCUCGUCGCUUUCUUGUCGAACUGGCUCCAUAUAUAGACUAAUGCACACCACAGUUCAAUUUCCAUUUUCGUUUCAGUCAUCGUACAUAUGACUGCAUUAUUCAGCUAACGUUUAAGCAUAGGGAUUUUUAUUUUCAUGUCCCGUCUUUCUUAGUUAUGAUUAGUUUUGCCCCGUUCAUUUAACAUUGCUCACUUUUUUCCCUUCUUUACUCAUCUACGCCUCGUAAAAGAUCAAACGGUGUGUUGACAUUGGGUUAGACCAGGGGCGGUCCUCAGAUUUUGGGGGCCCGGGGCUGGAUUAAAAGCCGGGGCCCUUAAUAUAGACAUAAUAACAAUAACACUGAAUAUACGUACCGGUGAAAUAUAAACACUUAAAUACGUCUAAUACUAAUAUGCAUAUCAAAUGUUUUAAAAAUAUUACCUCAAACAAUAAUUCUGACAUACCUUGAUGCAAAGGCCAUUAUGAUGGCGUCGAUGUUAAUAGCGUCCAAUAAUUUCUUCUCGAUGACAUAAUGUCACCAGACCAUAUAAACACUCUUGGUUCAUCGGUGACCUCACAUAGUUCUUCAAUCAAUAUUUCCAACUUCAGAGAGCUUCUUCCGACCAAUACGAUAGUCACAGGCAUAGUAAAUAGGAUGCAAUAAGCAAUGGAAAUAUCAGGAUAACAGCCAACUUCUAUUGACAUGCUGCAAAUCUCCAUUGCAGAUAUUACAGUCAUAUGGCAGAAUGAAUCCCACAAUUUUUAAUUUAGAAGUAAGAUCAUACUCCCUCCGUUCCUAAAUAUAAGACCUUUUAAAGAUUGCACUAUAAACUAUAUAGGAUGUACAUAGACAUAUUUUAGAAUAUAGAUUCACUCAUUUUGCUCCGUAUGUAGUCUCCUAGUUGAAUCCCUAAAAGGUCUUAUAUUUUAAAACGGAGGGAGUAUAUCUCAACAUCAUGAUACACAAUGCUGACAAAUAACAUUAAUUGUUGAACAAUAUCGAUGUACCGGCGAUGCAUCUACAGAAGCACAAUAAGAAUAUAUGAUAUACGUACCUCGGAUGGCUGAAUCAGCCAUGACGGAAAAUCAAAGCCGGAUUAUAGGACGCCCCGACGAAUUGAAAUCGACGGCGCGCAGCUGAUGAUCUAAAUUAGGAAAGAAAUUAGGUUUGGGAGAAAAGUAGAAAGGAGGGUCGAGCACGCAGUGGCGAACAGACGAUGCGUCGGCGGCCGCUAGGAAUCGCUGCGUCAAUGCGAGAUGGAAUAGGAAGGGAUCAAUCACUCCUAUUUUUUCGUGAAAAAACGGAAGGAACGGUUGCUGCCUUUGUGCCUCGCUGGACUGCUGGGUGCAUGUUUGCCUGCAUGCUACGUGAGGCCCAGUCAACCAACCCGAUAGGUCAUUUUUUUCUGAUCUGUAAAAACAUUAAAUAUGUUUGGACAAAGCCUAUGUACAUACGUGGGGAGGGCCCCCUAAACUUUGGGGGCCGGGGCGGCCGCCCCCCCCUGCCCCUCCCCUCGGCCGGCCCUGCGGUUAGACUACCAACAAUGAAAGUAACAUAGGUGGUAACAUAGAUAUCAUCUAAACAACAAAUGUGAUGUGGCAACUAAUUAAAGAAAAGUAAGAGAAAUUGAAUAACUUAGCAUGUUACUCAUAUUAGGAGUAACAUAGCGGAUACCAAGGCAAGAUGGGUGUAUAGGCUAAUAAAUAAAAGACUCAAUGUUACUACCCCUAUGUUACUAUCCACUAUGGAGGUAGUAACUUAGAUUAGUAACAUAUGUAUGUUACUCCCCAUUGGUCUUUCAGCGGCGUUCAGAGACUCCUUCAUAUUAUUAGACAUAAUUAUGUCUAGAGACACAACACACGAGGCUAUACGUAAAUCACCCUUAGAAUACCAGCGAGCUCUCGUUUAACCUACGGACCCGAUGGGCCAUGUUAAGACUGGUAUGAAUACCAGCAAGCUCGCUGACAAGGAUCCGACGACUCCAUUACCCCUCGCAUCGCUUAGAGAAAAAACCCGAUACAAGUCACCCCCUUGACUUGAUCUGGAAUUAUCUGCGAGAUGCCAUCUAUGCUCUCAUCUAUCAACAAUUUCAACACAUGUUCUGCCGGAGUUUUGGUGCUUGGAAACCAUGAGCAAACCGCUUGUCACUUCUCCCGUGAGAGAGCGUCACCGGCACAGAACACCUCCAAUGGUUUCGUGAUUGCCGAUGGCGGCUGCAGGAUUGGGGGAGGUAGGCUGCUCGGGCUGCGGGGGAUGCGAAUUGAGAGAGAGAGAGAGAGAGAGAGGGAGGGAGAGGGAGAGGAAGAGAGAGAGAGAGAGAUUUCGUCCCCCUUUUUAGGACAAAUGACCCAACCAUCCACUAGCCGGUCCCACAUGUCAGCAUUUCAUGUCAGUCCCAUGCGUCCACGCGUCAACACCGGACGAAGUAACGGUCAACAGUUUUGACCCGACGGUGAGGCAUUGUUUGGCCUUUUGCGAGACGGAGGCGAGUAGAGGAGGGAGAAAAGUGAGUAAUGUUAGACGGACGAGGCAAACUGAGCACAACUAAGUAACGAUGGACGAGGCAACUUACGUAAAACCAGCUACAAUUAUAAUAGCUUUCGAUGUACACCCGUGUGAUCACCAGCCAUCUAACAACCUUUGCCGACAGUUGUCCUUCAUCCACAAAGACAACAUCAUCCAAAUAAUUCACUUGCAAUCCAGGUUUCUCUAUCAUCUCUUUGGACAUUGUGAUAUUUACUAAUUCCCGAUCCAGAGGUCUCAUACGCCAUGGCGAUGUCAUGACCAGUCUAGGAGAAGAAGCACCUCGUAAACUAGAGCGGAACAGAACCUGGGUUUUCUAGGCAUGGCCUCUCGAUAAGAAGUUGAGAAGAUUAUGGCUGAUACAUGGUGAGAUAGGAUGAGGUGUCUACGCUGCCAUACGACAAAACCCUAGUAACAGGGGAUGCUUUAUCUGUGUUAUUUUUUAAUUAAAUCACAUGAAUAAUUGGCCGUGUGUAUGUAAUUCUAUAUUAAUAUAAUAGGACACAAAGAGGCAGGUCCAUAUCAUCUCGGCCAACAAAUCUAAGAUUUGAUGGUUCAUGUUGAGCACCAAGAGACGAAAACCGCUCGCGUCGCCUCCAGGGGGCGACACGGGCGCCCUAGCCGCCGUCGCCCUCGACCUCCCUCCUCCCCCGCUUCCCCGCCGUUGCCGGAGGAGGCCGGCGAGCGAAGCUCGCCCGGCGGACGACGGACGGCGGGCCUUCCUCCCUUCUUCACGAGGGGGUCCUUUGGCUGAGAUGCGACGGCGCCCCUGGGGGUACAACAUGGAGGCGGAGUUGGCGUGCUCGGGCGGCGUGGGAUCCCGGCGGCGCUGCGGGGGCUGGCGGCGGCGGAUCUGGGGUUCCCCACCCCAGAUCGGUUCUCCUCCGGGUGGUCGGGCUCAGGCGCCGUCCAGCGGCCCUAAGCGGUGGUGGACGCGCGCGUUGACUGUCCUCCUUCACAGAUGUGAUUGGAAACGACAGGAGGUGUUGGCGUGCUGCUAGAUCUGAACAAGGUGAUGGCGUCAUCCCCUUCAUCAGGGAUGACGACCAGGUGGUGGGUUCUUGUGGCGUCGCCGGUGGCGGCGGAUCUUGGGAUCCAGUUCCCGGGGACGUCGUGGGAUGUGGUGGCCCGUGCAGGAGAGAUGGGUUCUUCGAACAGAUCUGGGUCAAAGCUUGCUUUCGGCUAUUGCUAAGGUCGGCGAUGGCGGCGCUGUCUACAUCGUUCCCUUCCUGAAGGCAUCGCCGAGGAGAACUUCAGGGCCACUCUCUGCUACCUCCUGGGGUAACCCUAGAUCAGUAGAUCGGAUGACGGCGACGCUCUGGUGUCAUUUCCCCCUUGGGGGCGUCAUUCAUGGUGGUACACACGGGCUCGAGGGACCAUUGGUCGGCAUUUACGAUGGAGCAGCGUUCCUAGUGACACAUCGACGUUGUGGAGUCUCGGCGGCGAGGCGCGGCAAAGUCUCGGCAAUGAAUGCAUGAUGAUGAGCACGCGUAGGGAGGAGGCGUUGUCUGGCGCCGUGGGGGCAUCGAUGGCAGGCCUUGCAAGGUCGAUGCGUCAGUAAUUUUUCUGAAGAUGGAUUGAUGGAAGGCGGCGACGACGACCUAUGAGGGUGCGUCGGACCGUUUGUGCCCCUGACCCGGUAUGUGGCUCUGUCGGGGCCUCCGGCUUUAGAUGUUAGGCUAGGUGAGAGGUCUGGGUAUGUGGCUCACACUUUCUGCACCCCCUUCAUCAUUGUAUAUGAGUAGCGACAGAUGUUGCCAAGAGGACGGCUUCAGACAUACGCUUAACACUCUAGCUAAUUGACCACCAGUAGCACGGGAGAGGUGUUUUGGCUCCCGGGUAUAUGCACUCGGAUGAACAGUACUGCGAAAAAAGUUCUAAUUUUUUUUGUAGAUGAUUGUAUUAGUGUCGCAAAUAUGCAUGACAAUUUUCGUGCGAUAAGGAGCAACGGUGUUUCAUCAGCAAAAAAGACAAAUUUAGGAUGACAUUUUGGGGUAACUUUUGGUGUUCAAUUUGUUUUUCUUGCACAAACCAAAAUGUUUUAUCUUUUUGUCUCAAAAUUUACAAGUAGUAUUUGGAUGUGACAAAGCAUACAAACAAAUUUUGUCUCAUUUUUUUCCAUUUCAAACUUUUUUUUGGCCCCGAAAGCAUAUGCCGGGAGCCGAAUUGCAUUUCCGCCGGUAGCACUAGUUACAUACACACUAGACUCCGCGCAAUCCCAUGAAAUCUGUUUGGCGAUUAACAUACGGCUAAAUAUCAACAUGCAAAUAUUAUCUUACCAAAUGUACCAAAUGUGUAACUAGUAUCUUAAUUCUACUCCCUUCAUAAACUAAUAUAAAAACAUUUAAAAACAAUGCUUUAGUAAUCUAAACGCUUUUAUUUAAUUUACAAAAGGAGUGCUACCUAAUAUCAACAUGCAUUGCACCAACUCCCUUCAAGGUCUAAUGCGUUUUUAGGGUUGCCCUUGACUAUUGAUAAGAUUAAUAAUAUAUGAGAUCUAUGAUAAAGAGUCUUUUCACAUCCGAAUUUGACAAUAUACCUGUAACAUGCAAGUUAUAUAUAUAUAAUUGCUCUAACCCGUGGCCAAAGGAAAUCUUGCAAAAUGUAUCGGAUGAAGGGAGAACAUGAUAAUACCAGUCUAACAAAUAUAUCCUCUCCAAUCGCAAACAUUUAUCCCCUUGGAUCACAACCAUGCAUACCCCUUUUGAGUACUCCCUCCGUCCCAAAAUUAAUGUCGAGCAUGUAGUUCAUUGGGAAUUUUGCAAAAAAAAACCUCGUAUUUACAAAAUCGUCUCAAACAAGCACCUCCACCCCUAUCUUCUUCGUCCGUCCUCGCCCGUGCAUCGCGAGAGGCCGCGCCGUCGAACUGGAAGGGCUCCGCCGCCGUCGCCGCCAAUUACCUCCUCCAUCACCACAACCCAGAUCUGCGCCACCGGAUCUCUUCCCGCUGCAGUUACCUGUCGGCGUCGUUCUCGAGCUCCUGCCGGCGUCGGAACCUUCCGCCACUUCGUCCUCUGGCUCCCAUGCGUCAUCCUCGAGCUCCCGUGCAUCCUCCCCAAGCUCACGCGCAUCCUCGCUGGAAUCUCUACUGCUCCUUCUCCCUUGCAGCCGGUGUGCCUGCUUAUCCCCUGUCACCGGAGGAGCUCCUCUGCACGUACUUGUUGGAAUUAUGCCCUANNNNNNNNNNNNNNNNNNNNNNNNNNNNNNNNNNNNNNNNNNNNNNNNNNNNNNNNNNNNNNNNNNNNNNNNNNNNNNNNNNNNNNNNNNNNNNNNNNNNNNNNNNNNNNNNNNNNNNNNNNNNNNNNNNNNNNNNNNNNNNNNNNNNNNNNNNNNNNNNNNNNNNNNNNNNNNNNNNNNNNNNNNNNNNNNNNNNNNNNNNNNNNNNNNNNNNNNNNNNNNNNNNNNNNNNNNNNNNNNNNNNNNNNNNNNNNNNNNNNNNNNNNNNNNNNNNNNNNNNNNNNNNNNNNNNNNNNNNNNNNNNNNNNNNNNNNNNNNNNNNNNNNNNNNNNNNNNNNNNNNNNNNNNNNNNNNNNNNNNNNNNNNNNNNNNNNNNNNNNNNNNNNNNNNNNNNNNNNNNNNNNNNNNNNNNNNNNNNNNNNNNNNNNNNNNNNNNNNNNNNNNNNNNNNNNNNNNNNNNNNNNNNNNNNNNNNNNNNNNNNNNNNNNNNNNNNNNNNNNNNNNNNNNNNNNNNNNNNNNNNNNNNNNNNNNNNNNNNNNNNNNNNNNNNNNNNNNNNNNNNNNNNNNNNNNNNNNNNNNNNNNNNNNNNNNNNNNNNNNNNNNNNNNNNNNNNNNNNNNNNNNNNNNNNNNNNNNNNNNNNNNNNNNNNNNNNNNNNNNNNNNNNNNNNNNNNNNNNNNNNNNNNNNNNNNNNNNNNNNNNNNNNNNNNNNNNNNNNNNNNNNNNNNNNNNNNNNNNNNNNNNNNNNNNNNNNNNNNNNNNNNNNNNNNNNNNNNNNNNNNNNNNNNNNNNNNNNNNNNNNNNNNNNNNNNNNNNNNNNNNNNNNNNNNNNNNNNNNNNNNNNNNNNNNNNNNNNNNNNNNNNNNNNNNNNNNNNNNNNNNNNNNNNNNNNNNNNNNNNNNNNNNNNNNNNNNNNNNNNNNNNNNNNNNNNNNNNNNNNNNNNNNNNNNNNNNNNNNNNNNNNNNNNNNNNNNNNNNNNNNNNNNNNNNNNNNNNNNNNNNNNNNNNNNNNNNNNNNNNNNNNNNNNNNNNNNNNNNNNNNNNNNNNNNNNNNNNNNNNNNNNNNNNNNNNNNNNNNNNNNNNNNNNNNNNNNNNNNNNNNNNNNNNNNNNNNNNNNNNNNNNNNNNNNNNNNNNNNNNNNNNNNNNNNNNNNNNNNNNNNNNNNNNNNNNNNNNNNNNNNNNNNNNNNNNNNNNNNNNNNNNNNNNNNNNNNNNNNNNNNNNNNNNNNNNNNNNUGUUGGAAUUAUGCCCUAGAGGCAAUAAUAAAUGUGGUUAUUAUUAUAAUUCCUGUAUCAAGAUAAUAGUUUAUUAUCCAUGCUAUAAUUGUAUUGAAUGAAGACUCAUUUACAUGUGUGGAUACAUAGACAAAACACCGUCCCUAGCAUGCCUCUAGUUGGCUAGCCAGUUGGUCAAUGAUAGUCAGUGUCUUCUGAUUAUGAACAAGGUGUUGUUGCUUGAUAACUGGAUCACGUCAUUGGGAGAAUCACGUGAUGGACUAGACCCAAACUAAUAGACGUAGCAUGUUGAUCGUGUCAUUUUGUUGCUACUAUUUUCUGCGUGUCAAGUAUUUAUUCCUAUGACCAUGAGAUCAUAUAACUCACUGACACCGGAGGAAUGCUUUGUGUGUAUCAAACGUCGCAACGUAACUGGGUGACUAUAAAGAUGCUCUACAGGUAUCUCCGAAGGUGUUAGUUGAGUUAGUAUGGAUCAAGACUGGGAUUUGUCACUCCGUGUGACGGAGAGGUAUCUCGGGGCCCACUCGGUAAUACAACAUCACACACAAGCCUUGCAAGCAAUGUAACUUAGUGUAAGUUGCGGGAUCUUGUAUUACGGAACGAGUAAAGAGACUUGCCGGUAAACGAGAUUGAAAUAGGUAUGCGGAUGCUGACGAUCGAAUCUCGGGCAAGUAACAUACCGAAGGACAAAGGGAAUGACAUACGGGAUUAUACGAAUCCUUGGCACUGAGGUUCAAACGAUAAGAUCUUCGUAGAAUAUGUAGGAUCCAAUAUGGGCAUCCAGGUCCCGCUAUUGGAUAUUGACCGAGGAGUCUCUCACGUCAUGUCUACAUAGUUCUCGAACCCGCAGGGUCUGCACACUUAAGGUUCGACGUUGUUUUAUGCAUAUUUGAGUUAUAUGGUUGGUUACCGAAUGUUGUUCGGAGUCUCGGAUGAGAUCACGGACGUCACGAGGGUUUCCGGAAUGGUCCGGAAACGAAGAUUGAUAUAUAGGAUGACCUCAUUUGAUUACCGGAAGGUUUUCGGAGUUACUGGGAAUGUACCGGGAAUGACGAAUGGGUUCCGGGAGUUCACCGGGGGGGGCAACCCACCCCGGGGAAGCCCAUAGGCGUUGGGGGAGGCACACCAGCCCUUAGUGGGCUGGUGGGACAGCCCACAAGUGCUCUAUGCGCCAAGAGAAGAAAAAUCAAGAGGAAAAGGGAAAAAAAAGGAGGAGGUGGGAAAGGAGGAGGACUCCCUCCCACCAAACCUAGUCCAACUCGGUUUGGGGGGGGGAGAGUCCUCCCCCUUGGCUCGGCCGACCCCCUUGAGGGUCCUUGGACCCCAAGGCAAGGCCCCCUCCCUCCCACCUAUAUAUACGGAGGUUUUAGGGCUGAUUUGAGACGACUUUUCCACGGCAGCCCGACCACAUACCUCCACGGUUUUUCCUCUAGAUCGCGUUUCUGCGGAGCUCGGGCGGAGCCCUACUGAGACAAGGUCAUCAUCAACCUCCGGAGCACCGUCACGCUGCCGGAGAACUCUUCUACCUCUCUGUCUCUCUUGCUGGAUCAAGAAGGCCGAGAUCAUCGUCGAGAUGUACGUGUGCUGAACGCGGAGGUGCCGUCCGUUCGGUACUAGAUCGUGGGACUGAUCGCGGGAUUGUUCGCGGGGCGGAUAGAGGGACGUGAGGACGUUCCAAUACAUCAACCGCGUUCUCUAACGCUUCUGUUGUACGGUCUACAAGGGUACGUAGAUCACUCAUCCCCUCUCGUAGAUGGACAUCACCAUGAUAGGUCUUCGUGCGCGUAGGAAAAUUUUUGUUUCCCAUGCGACGUUCCCCAUCAGUACUGCUGCUGGUCAUCUGCCUGAGUUGUUGCUGCUCCUCUGCUGGAGUUGAUGCUCCUCUGCUCGAUCUACUCUGCCGCUGGUGAAGCUCUGCCCGUGGUACUGCUAUUCCUCUGCCCAUUUGCACCUGAAGAAGGUACUGAUGAAACUGUUUGUUGUUUACUGCUACCUAAAACUGCUGUUGUUUGAGAAACUGCAUUGCUUGAGAAACUUGUAAUGUUGUGGUAUCGAAAAUAAUUUUGUGCAAUACUUGUAAUGUUGUGGUAUCAAAAAUAAUUUUGUGGAGUAUCAGAAACAGAGAAGCCUGGUUCAAGGUUUUGCACUGGAAACAGAGCAGUCUGGUUCAAGGUUGUGCACUGGAAACAGAGCAAUCUGGUUCAAGGUUUUGCCUAGAUAAACCAGACCGGAUGAGAGACCAAAUACAUGGGCAAGUAGUCAAAAGAAACACAUAAUUUGCCUAGAAUCUUGUUGUCCUGUGAUGCAAGAAAAUUUCACCAUGUGUAUGUUGUGGAACGCUUACAGUUGCACAAAUCAGACAUAUCAGUAGGUUGGUUCAGGUGUUGGUUCUUGGCCUAUUAACAUAGAAAGCCCCUUUGUAACUACUAGGACAAUCAGCUUGUGUAAAGAUCAUAUUUAGAGACGAAUUGCAAGCAUUAACCUGAUCUUAACAUAUAUAAAUGGAUAUUAAGUUUUCCAUUUUAGGCGAAUACAGAUAGAGGUUUCAACUAGACCUAGUGAGAAAUGGUUCCAUGGUAGCAUUUCUUGUUUGGCUGUCGUAGCUCGAUUACAUAUUGUUUUUACGUGCGUAUAUAUUCUUGUUACAGUACCAUGGUGUACUCAUCUUUUGUCAUUGAUAGCAGGAGUAUGGAUUUGAACAUGAUACCUCAAGAGGAGGAUGAAGGUAUUAAUUUGAAUUGGAUCCCUCAAGAGGAAGAGGCUCAAGGGGGAGAGGAUGGAGGUAUGGAUUUGAACAUGAUGCCUCAAGAGGAAAAGGAUGAUGGUAUUAAUUUGAAUUGGAUCCCUCAAGACGAAGAGGAUCCAGGGGGAGAGGAUGGAGGUAUGGAUUUGAACAUGAUGCCUCAAGAGGAAGAGGAUGAAGGUAUUAAUUUGAAUUGGAUCCCUCAAGAGGAAGAGGCUCAAGAGGAAGAGGAUGAAGUUAUGAAUUGGAUACUUCAAGAAGAAGAAGAAGGUCAAGAAGGUGUACCAGGUAAACAGAAAAGAAAAGAAUUGUCAAAUAAGGAGAGGCAUGCUGUUUACUUUGCUCUGCUAGUAAUCGAGCUCAGAGAUGGAUCUGUUCAACCAAACGACAAGCUGCUAGUAUCAAUCUUGUUGAACAUACAUGUACGAUCUAUUGAGAGAAUCUGGUCGGAGCCAAAAAGCAGAUUGCCGCGGGCCAAGAAGUAGAUGUCUCCAACAAGAAGAAAGGAAGAGUUGGUCGAAAGAGAAAAGAGCUGGAUCUUGCAAGGACCUCAACAAUCCCAUUGAAUAGAAGAAGGACAAUUCGAUCUCUGGCACGGUCUCUCGGUGUGACCCGCUCAACCCUACAUCGGAGGUUCCAGUUAAAUGAGCUCAACCGCAUCACAAACACAGUCAAGACUUACCUCAAACCAGAGAACAAGAUUGCAAGAUUGAAGUUUUGUAUGUCCAUGCUCGAUGACAAUUGGAUCUCAACUUCCCAAGCUAUAUUCAAGCCAAUGACUAAUAUGGUCCAUAUAGAUGAAAAGUGGUUUGACAUGACAAGACUAAAGAACAACUACUAUGUACUUCCAGGAGAGCCUCCACCUGAGCGCACCGUGACAAACAUUAACAUCAUUGGGAAGGUAAUGUUUCUAACGGUUGUGGCCAGAUCUCGAUACAAUUAUGAUGGAGAGCUAACAUUUGACGGGAAGAUUGGUAUUUGGGCAUUCAUCAAAGAGUCUGAGGCAGUGCGAACGAGUCACAAUAGAGCAAGGGGAACGACAGUGCUGAAACCAGUGAAAGUAACGAGACCUGUGUGUAGAGAAUAUCUGAUCAAUAAGGUUAUACCAGCAAUUCAAGAUAAAUGGCCUGACGAUGAUGAGGGAGCAACAAUAUUCAUCCAACAAGAUAAUGCAAAGCCUCGCGUUCUUCCCAACGAUGAAGCUUUUCGAGAAGCUGUGGAAGAAACUGAUCUCGACAUUAAGUUGAUGCAACAACCUCCAAACAGCCCAGAUUUGAACUGUUUGGACCUCUGCUUCCACAAUUCUCUCCAGUCUCUAACCGAUUGUAGGUCACCUACAAACAUCCAGGAACUGAUACAGGGUGUGGAAGAGGAGUUUGAGAAUUAUGAUCCUCACAAGUUGUACAACAGCUUCAUCACAUUGCAAGCAGUUAUGUUUGAAAUUAUGAAAGAUCAAGGAGGAAACCAAUAUAAGUUGCCCCACUUACACAAGGAACGUCUUCAGAAUGACGGCAGAGAAAUAACAAGUGUAUAUUGUGACAGUCAGCUAGUUGCUGAUACUAGGGCCAUUCUAGAAGAAAUGCAAUAGGAAAAGGAAAGGAAGAAAAGAAGUAGUUGUAGAAAGGAAAAAAAGAAUUGAACUUAUCUGAAUUGUACUCCUUGUGUACUCCUUGUACUCCUUGUGUAUGUCUUGUGCAAUAGGAAAAUGCAAUUGGAAUCAUUUGAGAUCAAUGAUGAUACUGGUUAUCCAACAUUUCCAUCUUGUGUAUCGGAAUUCAUUUUAAUUGUUUGGACUAAUUUGUUUGAGUUUAUCUUGAGUUUAUCCAGCAUUUCCAUCUGUAUUGGAGAUCAAUGAUCUUGUGUAUUGGAAGGGUCAUGUACAUGGGGAUGUUGCCUCAAGUUUUAUUAAAUUUAUUGUUUCAGGUUUCAGUAUACAAAGAUUACUGGGGUAUUGUCUAUAGUUUGGAUAAACCAAAUAAAGUUCACAAAUCUUUAUUCCCUUUGUGCAUAAAGUUUACAAAUCCCAAGCAUAGAGUUGGGAUCAACAAAAAAAUUCUAAGCUUACAAAUCGUGAGUGCUUUCAUCUCAAAAAAAUUCUAAGCUUACAAAUCCAGAACUGGUAGCCUUCCUUAUCUCAAUUCUCUGGUACUGAUUUUUGCUCUCUUUUUUUACCUUCCUUCAACAAGUUGUUCCUUGAACUGCAGGUACUCAGGGACAGUCAACUCCUCGUCGUCUGAAUUCUCAAGUACAGUAGUACUAGUAGCUUGGUUCAGGUUGAUUCUCAAUGAUGCCCUGCACUUGACACUAAAGCCUCCAGCCUGCAGAUAUACAAACGAAAUACAGAUACAUGCAUCAGUCUGAACCUGAAGAAGAAGGAAUGCAACCUGUGAAAUGUGUGAAAUGCUCCUACCAACAGACAAUGGAUGGUUUUUUUGUUUUGAUUGGUCUUGCUCUCGGUUUGAAGAUGAAGUGGUGUUAUUUCGCUUACCGUUGAUGUUCAAGUGUAGGCUUUUGCCUGCCCAGCACCUCUUAACCAUGUCAUCUCCUUGCAGUGCGUCUGGUUCAGGCCGAGCUCCGGGAAGCGGCUGCGCAUCAGCGGCAGCAGCGUGUCCGACGUCCCCAGGUACAUGGACUGGAAGUUGGCCUCCUGUUUCUACACGAGCACCCUGAUGAAGAGGUCUUCGGGGAGAGCUGGGGCGACUUGUUGCCAUCUGGUGAGGACGUCCACGGCGCCCUGGUCGACGGACUUCGUGACGCUGAACAUUGUCACUGUCGGGGGACGGGAACGUGCUUCACCUGCCACGAGAGCACGACGCCGAAGCUCUCGCCGACGCCGUUUCCGACGCAGCCGGAGAAGACGGCGGCGGUAGGUGGAGAAAUCAUUGCUUUUUAUGAGGAAGGGGGAAGCUUGGGGAGGCAGGCGAGUCGCAACUGCGGCGGCGGAGCGGCGGGGGACCGGGGGAGCAGGGGAGUUGCGGCAGGCGGAGCUGCAGCGGGCGAGCGGCAGCUGCGGCGGGGGAGUAGGGCAGCUGCGGCGGCGAGGAGCAGGCAAGCUGUAGCGAGCGUAGAUGGGGCAUCUGUCGGAGGAGGAGGACGAGGAGCGCGGGUUUGGUCGGGAGAAGCUGUAGGGGCUUUUCGCAAAAUUACCGUCGCGACAUUAAUUUCGGGACGGAGGGAGUAGCAUCUAAUCCUUCCAAAUAACACAGAACAUACGUGUUGCACGACCCAAAUGGGGCCCGGUCAAUGACAUCAAUCCCAUAUGUCACUCUCUGCUCCUACUACCUCGCUGUCCAUUACUUCAUGGUAAAUCUGGGGACGAGGAGGACAUGGUCGUCUGUCUGGCUCUUCACCUCCCUCGGGAGCAGUGCACUCGACCACGGUUGGACUCUAACCGGUGGAAAUCCAUGGUGUCCGUUCAAAUGUCGUUUGGAUGCGCAGGGAUGAUUGCUCGAGGCGUGCGGGCGCGGCCUCGACGGACACAGUGAUCGCCGUCCAAUUCUAGUAUGAUGAUGCAACCCCUUUGGUGGUGCCUCAUCCCUACGCCCUCGGGCUCGGAGUCGAAGAUCUGCACCGGCAUGAGUUACGGUCCAUCUUCUAACAUGGAGUGGCAUACCCGUCGUGCAAGGCAAAGGCCGCGUGGCGAGACGUAGAUGCUCUAACCACAUCUAGAUGGGAUCACAUCGAUUUAUGAUAUCCCGACUUCCCGAUCAACGAGUCUCCUCUGAUCAAAACCAUGUUACCCUAAUAUGCAUGUAAAAAAGUUAGGCUAAUAUGCGCGUAAAAAAGUUGAUUAACUGCUGCUAAAAUGGUGUGAUGUGAUAAGCCGGCCCUCCCCAACAAGAAAUAAUAACAACUGCCCCCCUAUCUCUCAUAUCCAAUUUAUAUAUGAGCCGGAUAUAGCGAGGACUGGAUGCGUCCGUCAGGUUGUAUCCGGCUCACGCUGGUUCAUCCCGACCCAUAUAUAUCCGUCUCUAUCUCCAACCUGGACGAAACCCUAGCUACUCCACCCCUCUUCUUAGCUCCGUUCCGAUGAUCUCCAGCCAUCUCCGACAUUACAGGCAGCGUCCGACACGGAGUUGGGAUCUCGCCCCAUGCGGGGAUGAGGAGGACAUGGCCGUCCGGCCGGCACUUCGCCGCCCCCGGAAGGAGUGCGCUCGACCACGGUUGGACUCUAUCCGGCAAAAACCCAUGGUGUCCGUUCAAAUCUCGCUUGGAUCCGCAGGGAUGAUGGCUCGAGGCGUCCGGGCGCGGCCUUGCCGGACGCGGUGACCACCAUAAUAUUCUAACUCCGGGAUGGCGAUGCAACCCCUCCGGUUGCGCAUCAUCCCUAACAUGGAGCGGCGUACGCCGUCGUGCGAGGCAUAGGACGCGGGGGCGAGGUGUAGAUGCUCUAACCGCAUCUGGAUGAGAUCACAUCGAUUGAUGAUGUCCGGAUAAACGAGUCUCCUCAGAUCAAAACCGUGUAAUAAUCCUACAAAAUAAAGACAUCGCCCAACGUGUUCCAGAACGCUCUGAAUGAGACCCCGCGAAUGGCAACAACCAUACCAUUUAUGAGCAAGUUUUGUCAGUCCCCCCACCCGGCCAGCCCGUGACAUCGAUGUAGCAGCUUCCGUUCCUAUUUAACCAGCGUACCAUUUGCACUACAUUGCAUCACAGCAAGCACACACACACACACACUCUCUAGAGAAAUGGCGAUGGCUAGGACGACGGCGCUCCUCCUCGUCGCCGCGGCUCUCCUGGCGGCCUCAUCCAGCGCAUGGGAGGUGAACAUCCAGAUGCCGGCGUCGGCGGCCGUGGACGAUGCUGUGGCACCGCUCAUCCACGCGCUGCGGCCGCUCCUGGGCUCCGGCAAGCAAGCCGGCGUGGCGUGCGAUAGCUGGCGGCUGGGCGUGGAGGCGCACAACGUGCGGGACUGGAAGACGGUGCCCGCCAGCUGCGAGGAUUACGUCGGCCACUACAUGGUCGGCGACCACUACCGCCGGGACUCCAAGGUCGUCAUCGACCAGGCCAUCGCCUACGUCGACUCCCUCAAGCUCGCCGGCAACGGCAAGGAGGUCUGGGUCUUCGACGUCGACGAGACCACCCUCUCCAACCUCCCCUACUACGCCAAGCACGGCUUCGGGUACGU
rnacentral:lncRNA from 1 species